rnacentral:lncRNA from 1 species
AAAACAAAAAAACUUUAAGAUAAUAAACUAAUAUUAAUCCUAAAAAACUACUAAAGGAAAGGGUGAAAGAAAAAAUUAUUAGUUUGUGCUGUUCUCAUGGUAAUAGUGGUUUUUGUAUUGUACGAUCAUGUGUUACAUUUUAUGCAUUAUUAUGUGGAUGAAUGAAUAAGUUAAUUACAUCGCAUGUCAUAGGGUGAAUAUUACAUUAAAAAAUUCUUCAUUCUUGUUAUUCGUCAAAUUAAUGGUUGUGCAUUUGUAUGAGGACCUAGAUCUGUUGAGGAUGCAGAUCUUCACUCGUUGAAGGCCAUCCCUAUCUAUCUACUACUACUCUUUGGAAAAUAAUUGACUACAGAUGAUUGUACAAAAAAAUAAUUAAUAUUAUCUGAACAGCUCACCAUGCAUGUUCAGUAAAGUAAAGCGGAUUUGUUUAUUCAUUGUCUAGUUCAAACUUGGGGAGCAUUUUCUCAUUCUUGCGGUGAUCAGAAUAAUGUGAUUUAAGUCCAGUUAAACAUGCUUAAUUAUGCAUUUAAGCAUCUUUUAUUUAUUUGCUUUCAUUAUUUUUUCCUUCUUAAUGUGUUGUUAUUGUUUGGAACAACAAGUAAGACAAAUCUAGCCAGUUAGCAUUCACCGCAUCACCGCAUAAUGAAAGAUUAUUCAUAUUUGGAAAUGAAUAAUUAAUUAAAAAACUGUAUUAUUAAGGCAAAUGGGCACUUAAUAUUUGUAUCUUAAACCUUCCGAGUCGGAUAUUCGAGUAAAUUAGUUAAAAAGCUAUGCAAAAUGUGAAUGUGACAGACUACGUAGUAAAGUUUGGGUUAAGAGAGAGAGAGAGAGAGAGAGAGAGUAUUUCGCAGCCGGCUGGUCCCUAUGUACGGGAAGAAUCAUAGAAAGUUAGGUAACUACACACAUUUUUCAAAGAUGUCGAUCAUGAAAAAUAUUUGAUAACAAAUUCAGGGAGGACAUACUGCUUAAAUUAUUAACCUAGAAAUAAAGUUCGAUCUCUUGCUUUAACUUUUCUGCUACGUAGCUCUUAUUGCAUUAAACAAAGCCUUAUUAAAGUAAAGAUGGUCACACCCUUAGCCCUUUAGGUGAUACGUUCAGGGAAAUGGUUAAUGUUUUUACAAGCUCUUGUUUAUUUUUAUUUUUUAAUAUUUUCAGAUAUUUUUACAAUCUUUUACUGCGCAGUAAUAGAGUGUAAAAAUCAUAUCUAUGUAUUUAUUUAUUAUUAACUAUGUUUACAAUGAACCUUCUAUUCCAUGAAACAAGAUAUAAAAAUAAAAAUAAAAAGGAGAAGGGCAUAAAUUAACAAAAUUCGGUCAAAGGCCGCAUUGGUCCAAACAUUAAUUGAUAAUCUAUGACAAAUAGUCUGGCCCCAUUAGCAUUAUUUUAACAGUAAUAUUGUUUUUUUACUAAGAUAAUUAAUAAUUGCCAAGUGAAAAUUUGGCAUGAGUACCAUUGUGAAGGGUAAAAACCAAAGCUAUAUAAAGGGUGAGGAGGCUUAGCUUCAGAGGCAGACAACCAAAAACCCAUUCUUAACGAAGGAUGGGAAAAAUGGUGCCUUCACAAGUGACCUCUCUUGUGGUCACUCUCCUAGUGGCAAUAGUCUCUCUCACAUUGCCUUCAGAAACUUCAGCUAACUACCCUUACACCUCUCCACCACCACCGGCCUCUCCUCCCUACCAUUACAAGUCACCACCGCCUCCUUCUCCUUCUCCUCCAGUGCACUACUCACCACCUAAGCAUCCCUACCACCCUAAGUCACCACCACCUCCUGUGUACGCACCACCUAAGCAUCCCUACCACCCUAAGUCACCACCACCUCCUGUGUACCCACCACCUAAGCAUCCCUACCACCCCAAGUCACCACCACCAUCACCAAAGCCUUACCACUACAAAUCCCCACCACCACCUCCUGCUCCAGUGCACUCACCACCCCCACCUAAGGAGCCAUACCACUACAAGUCCCCACCACCACCACCCAAGAAGCCCUACCACUACAAAUCUCCCCCACCACCUCCUCCUCCAGUUCACUCACCACCACCACCCAAGGAGCCUUACCACUACAAAUCUCCACCACCACCACCCAAGAAACCUUACUAUUACAAGUCUCCUCCACCACCACCAAAGAAGCCUUACCACUACAUGUCUCCUCCCCCACCGGUGUACUCACCACCUCCACCAGUGCACUCACACCCACCACCAAAAAAGCCUUACCAUUACAAAUCUCCUCCCCCGCCAGAAUAUUCACCAGCUCCACCAGUGCACUCAACCCCACCACCAAAGAAGCCCUACCAUUACAAAUCCCCACCACCACCACCACCACACAAGAAGCCUUAUUACCCUGUUCACUCACCACCUCCACCUAAGAAGCCUUACCACUACAAAUCCCCACCACCACCUUCUCCUACUCCUCCUAAAUACUCACCACCUAAGCACCCCUACCACUACAAGUCUCCACCACCACCACCAAAGAAGCCUUACCAUUACAAGUCCCCACCACCUCCUUCUCCUACUCCCCCUAAAUACUCACCACCUAAGCACCCCUACCACUACAAGUCACCACCACCACCACCCCAAGAAGCCUUACCACUACAAGUCUCCACCACCACCACCUCCUCCAGUUCCCACACCAUCUCCACCCAAGAAACCUUACCACUACAAGUCUCCCCCACCACCCCCUCCAGUCUACAAGUCUCCUCCACCACCAGUUUACUCACCACCACCACCACCUAAGAAACCUUACAAGCCACCAACUCCUCCAGCAGUUCACCCACCACACGGUUACAUCUAUUCCUCACCCCCACCUCCUCACCACUACUAGAUAUUGAAAGUUUAAUUGCAUCAAGCUGGUAAGCUUCUCCAUUCUAUGCUAUUAUUCAUUAAUUAGUUAGUACUACUGUUGUCAAUUUGGAAAUCACCAUACAACCAAAUGCACACUCUGACGAAAUAACAUAUAAAUUCUAAUUGAAUAGUCUUUAUUUCCAUUUUUGGCUAAUAAUCCUUAUUAGCAUAUGGAUAAUGUAUUUCCAACAUAUCGUUAUUAACUUAUUACUCAAUUAAUAUUUCUUUUUCUUUAAAUUCAGUAGCCGUGUGUAACAAAUAGACCAAUGGCAGAGACCCAACAAAUAACAAUAAUAUGUCUUUGCAGGUAAGGGAAGAAGAAAGGUCAGAAUAAAGAGGGGCUGUUGAAGUCGAACAGCGCGCCUUAUUACCACACAAAGAAGAAGAGAGAGAAAAAAACGAGUCUCCACGCAGCUGCUGAUGUGACGUGUUUUAUGUAUGCGAUAUUCGAUAGAGGUUCAUAUUUUCCUUGGAAUAUUAGACAGUUGUAGGGCACUCAUGUUCCAUGUAUUUUAUUUCCUGUUUCUCAAAAGAGAUGGUAUAUGUAUGUUGUUUGUUUCAACCUUCUAAUGGAGAGGUGAUCAUCAUAAUAAUAAAAUAAAUACAUUCCCCAAAUUUUACUUAAUUUCUCAUAUAUCUGAUAUGUUUUACUCUCUUAAUUAAAGUUUCCUAAUAAUGUUAUAAAAACCACGUAUAUCACAUUGGUGUACCAUUUAUUCUCACAAGUAAUGUCACGUCAAUUAAUGAGUUUAUCUCAUUGAAUAGUAAUUGACUUGCUUACAUUAUAUGGUAAUAAUGUGGUGUAAAUAUGUCGCAUCGUCCUUAACAUCACUCUAAAUUUCUUGGUAAUAAUAUAUGCGAGCAGUGUUAACAAAUCAAAGGAUGAGAAAGAAGAAAAACUAUUUGCAAAUUCUUAUUCUUAAUAUUUCAUAAACACAAAAUAAAGAAGACUAUGAAUUGUUCAAAUGCAUACUAAGUGAUCUAUUUUGGCAAAUCAUCUUAGUAUUGUAUUAUUUUCUUCAAUUAAGUGAUCUAUUUUUUUUCAAUUUGUUUUCCAUAUUUCAUGGCUUAAAUUUGUGAUUACUUUUUCAACAUAAAUGUCAAAUACUUUUUCUAAAAGUUAAUGUUGUCUAUUAUUUAUCCGUUGCUGGGAAAAAAAGUUAAAGUGGUAAUCUUAUUGAUAAAACUUAGUUCACUACACUAUAUAUACAAUUGUCUUCCGGUAGACCAUCAUGGAUAAAAAAUCAAAAGGAUUAUCGAAACCCCAAAAAAUUCUCACUAGUAGAAAGAUUGUUCAAAUUCUACAAUGAACCACAAGAAGUCUAACUCACUUGGUCAUUGCUGAUUGACUAUCAUUACUAGGUUAAAGCAACAUUUUAAGUUUUAACCUAAAUAGGAUCUCAACAAGCUAGGGUUUGAGAUUAGUGUUUUAGGUGACGACAGAGCUCUUUCCUUUCUUUAUGUUAUCCAAACUCUUUUUCUUUUUUCAUUUUUAUCAAGAAACUGUAGGUCUCAAUCAAAUUUAUGGAUUAUGGAUUUUAGUUAUGUAUUCUUAGUGUGGAAAUUUGACUAUAAAAUACGUUGACACUUGUCCUUUAAACUAAUGCAACCGAACAAACUUGUAGUUAACAAUUUUAUUAAGAGAGAUUAUAUUCACACACUUCAAAUUACUUAUGUCACACCUUUCUAAUUUUUUAAUAUUUUCUACACACCACUAACACUUGAAAGAAAAAAUAUUAAAAAAAUUAAAAGAGUGUGGGGCAAGUAAUUUGGGGUGUGUGAAUAUAAUCUCUCUUUCAUUAAAUCAUAACAUGGUGGAGUGAGUAAGUGAUGAGGAAAGACAAUUACGUCGCUCAUAUGCAAAUGAGUGGACAAACCUUCCAAUGGAUGCAACGGUGGUCAUGAAUUAUGAUUGUGUGUAGGGUUUCGAGUUACCGACGUUGACUGUCAUGCAAAUUGAGUACGUAGCCACUUACACUUAAUGGCAGAGGUCGAUGAUUUGCGCUACGGAAAAUGGUUUGAUUUGCUUAUACCAAUUACCAAACAAAGCAAAUAUAUUCGUCCUUUUGGUUUGGUUGUCAACUGUCAAGUAUGCGUUAGAAUUUUUUAAUUUGGGUUAAAUAAAAUAAAAAAACAAUACUCAAAACUUUUUGGGGAUGAGAUCUGAGAAAUUUAAUUUUUUCCCUUCAUAUAUUAGGGAUGAAAGUUGACUUAAUCACACACAAUGGAUCAUACCAACAAUAAUUUAGUAUCGAAUUCAUCAUUCAUGAAAAUCAUAUUUGAGCCUAAAUAAAAAUAAGCAUGUUAUGGGGUCAAUCUACUUUUAUUUACAGAAAGUUGCACGACUCAGGCCCACCAACUUCAAAGCCUAAUUCAAGAUCAUAUCACAAAGCUUGGGCGACCUUUUUGUCCCCCUCCUAGCUAUUCGAGGGCUUGGGUAGAUCUCUCUAUGAAGUGCGUCCACCACGCAGAUGACCAGACCCGGGAAUAUCUCGCCUCCUUAAAUGUUGAUGUACGCAUCAUCUAACAUGCUAAUGUCACCAUUGCAAUUAUGAAAACGGCCAUGAAAUACAGUUUAAGGCCACCAACCAGAAAUUAUAGUCAAUGUCAACUCACCGAUCUACCCAUGCUCCAUCUUAGCCAUGAGAUCGAGGUUGCUCUUGCUUCAUUGCCUAUAAAUAGAGUGGGAAACCUUCAAACUUAGGACCUUCGUCUGAUCCAAUCUCUACAAUUAUAUAAAACCUCGAUUGAUUCUUCAAUCAACCCAACUUCUUUCAAAGUACAAUCCAAUUGCUCUUCAACUACAAUCACAAAGCCUUCGUUAAAAGCAAACAUUGCCUAUGUCCCUGAGAUCUUAAACUUUUACAGCUUUUCCAACCCGUGGUAUGAUUCGGUUGAUGUGUCAAUCCAACCACCCUGAUUUCCUCUUAGAGGCACAUGUUUUGGACUAAGUCCAAUUUGAUACCAGAGACCUCAGUGGACUCCUCUAGCAUUAUCUAUCCCUUCAUGGCCUAAAUCUUGUAAGAGUUUUUACAGCUUUCUUUACAAUUUUACUCAAUUUUCAUUUCAAGUCAUGUAGCUCGGCCCAUCGGCCAAGAUUUUACUUUUAUAUAAUGCUUGUAAUGUUGACUUCAUUAUGAAAUAAUUACAUUUUGUUCAUCACAUUAUUUUCCAUUUUCCUUUUUCAUGUUUUAGGCAAAAACACAAAAAAGUUACAUUGAAUUUUAAGUCCUCAUUCACUCAAGGCAUAGAAAAAAACUUAAACGAACUAGCGUCUCAUUCAAUGCACAACAAUUGGUUAAGAAGUCAGAUCUUUGCGCAACUUUCACACACAUCCAAAUACAAAGAUUGUCUGUUGACAGCCUCCAACAAUAGCACACCCAUUCUCUCAUUUUCUCGAGCCACCUCGUGACAUUGAUAUAAAAAAUAACACUCGGGGAAAAUAAAAGUUACAGUAGUAGUGAAAGAAAUUUAGUUGUUGUAAUAACUGAAUUUUGAAGGGCAUAUUAAGUAAUAAAAAUUAUGAGCAGAUAGUAUUUGCCCCAUUUGGCCUAGUGUCGACCAAAAAUGUACCUUCACCUAGAAAAGGAUUGUAGAAAGUGAAGUUAGUUCAAUAAUUGUCCUCUUUUUUGUUUUCUUUUUCGAUAUUUUAAGUGCUAUAUUGAGACUUUGGGGGCUUUUUUUUCCCAAAGCUCUGGCCUAUUCCGCGAAGAACUGAGAUUGAAUGGAGACUUUAUCAUUCUCACUAAUAUUAUAAGAAAAAUUGCACAAUACCAUUGUAUUAUUAAUUUGAGACAAUGGUAUUAAUUAUAGACAUUACAAUAGUGUCAAGAAUAAUGCAAAUAACUCAUUCUCCUUUGUUUAUUAGGUCGAAUUUCACUAGCUACAAAUAAGUUUAGCGGGGUGUAAGGAUGGAGACUUUAUCAUUCUCACUUAUAAAUCAUCAUAUAUUUAGGUGUGGGGUAAGGGGUUGGGGUAGAUUAGGUCCCAGGUUCGAGGCCUGGUGGGGUGGGGUGGGGUUGAAAAAAAAAAUCAUAUAUUUAGGUGUGGGUUUGGAAGGUAGACUUGAUUCCGCGGUGUUUUGAGGAGGAGGAGGGCAAUCUUAUUCUUGGUUUACCAAUAAGUUUAGCAGGGUGUAAGGAUAGAGUCAUAUGGCACUAUUCAAGAAAAGUUGCAAAACCACUAAAACUUUAUUUUAAGAGUCAAAUCUACUAAAUUCUUCUCCAAGAGACUUGAUAAAGGACUCUAUAUAAUAGCAAGUUGCUCUUUAAAUUUAUAAGUAAUGCCUAAUGGGGCUUUUAAGAAAAUAUUAAUAUUUAAAAAAAAAGUAUUAAUUUUUGUUUUAGACAUUGUAUAAGGAAAAUGAUAAGCAUACAUCCUUUUUAGCCUCGAUCAACACUUAUAUUUAAUCUUGUUCAUUAUUUUUGUUUGAUUUAUACAAUGCGAUGGUCAAAAAAAUAAAUAAAAAAUAUGUUUGAGAAGUUAAAAAUGAUGUGUGAAAAUCACCUGCCAAUAAACAAAUCUAUUAUUAAAACUAAUACAAACUUUAAAACUAAAACUCAUGAUCAAUUAAGAAACGCUCAAGUCAAAUUCAUAAUAGCCAUAAAACAUAAAACACCUAAAUUUACUAUGCCAAUUCAAUCAACAAUCGUAUUAUAAAUAUGUUAAAUCCUUACAUGAAUGGAAUUGUUAGCCCAUCAAUCCAAGUAAUUGAAUGAUCUUUGGAGAUUUACUUAAGAGCAGUAUUAAUAUGAAUUAUGAACUUAUGAGAGAGAAAUAAUCUAUUAUUCUUUUCUCUAUUAGGCUAUAUUAUAUUUAUUUUGUUAUUGAAGAAAUUAUAUAUUGUAUAAUAUUUCCAUGGGGUGCAAAAACAUCGGGGCGCCUUUUUUUAGUUGGGGACCUUGUGCAAUGUCUUAUAUUCCUCCCCUUCAAUCCGGCACUGACAGGAAGGGAGAGAACGAUUUAAAAAAUGAACGGGUUGAAUUUGAAUUGAUAAUAAUUAGUAAAUUAUUUAAACUUUGUUAAAUAGAAAAUAUUGUUGAAAAUGAAAAGUUAAACUGAGUAAUUAAAAUAGUUUUUUUGACACUUUUCACUUGCUUGUUUAACAAAAAUUUAGAGCUUGUCUUUGAGAUACUCUUACUCCUUUAUUUAAAGGACUCGGCUUUUCUAUUAUAGCUGUCGUAUUCAAUAUUGUUGCAAUUAAUGAACUUAAAUCAUUUCGUUAUGACCAAAUUAAGAUAAUCAUGGACAUGUAGAUUAGGUAGCUAAUUCUGAUUUUGACUCGAUCACAUCAAGGUUAUCGUAAUUAAUGUCGGUUAAUUUAAUAUGCGUCUCUGAUCUGAUUACAUUACCAUGGUACGUAAACAUGUGUAUCCAUCUGCAAGACUCAAGAUUUAUAAUUUUGUUUUGUUUACUGUUUUUACGAAGAUAUUUAUGAUUUGAUUUUAUAAUAAAUUUUUUUUUAAAAAAAAAAUCAGAGCAAAACUGCAUCAUGGCCAACAAUCCAGCCAGAUUCAGUUCAACUAUAAUUUUGGCCAAUUUUUCAAAGCUGAUGGAUGUUAGUAGAUUUGUGUGGGGAACACUGAAAAGGCUAGAUUAUGAAAUACCAGAAAAGUAUUGACAUUUCAAUUGCUUAAACCAACCAUGAUGAAGAGUUCUAUGAAUUAUUUUUCAAAAUUUGAUUAAAUUGUGUCAUCCAGAUUAACGAACAUUGUUUCAUUGAAAUUAGUUCAUCAAGAUUGCGUAACUGGGAUAGCUUUCACACUGUAUUAACAUACAAAGAGGCUCUACUUCGUUAGAGUGUUCAAACUGUACACGUAAUUUGACUGCCGUACACAUUUUUCUUAUAUCUCUCCAAUCAACUUUAUUUUUCCUUUUGAAUAAAUUAAAGAUAAAGAAAGAAAACCAUUUUGCCUUAAAUGGCAAGAGAUUGAUGAAAAUCUACUCUAAAGAAGGGACAGGAUAUAUAUAAAUUAAAAUUCAUCAUGUACAAAGUAAGCGUAGGACAUUUUCAUCAUUUUACUUUGUCGUGCCCAUAAUUCUUUGCUCUAUAUAUUUUAUCUUUGUUGGUGGUCGAUGCUUUGGUUGGCUGUCAAUUGCGACGGACUGUCGUAAAAAUUGUCGGCAACCAACCAUGUGUUCUUGCAUGCCCGAUGUUCUCGCCACCUCACGUGGAAAUUUCCAAUGGAAUGGAGGGCCAAAUUUCAGUUUUUAUAUCAAUUUGUUUAUGUUAAAAUUUUCUUGUAAUAUAAGUCAAUGGUUGAAUUUGCAGUAGAAACAAACAAAAUAUGUGGACGAAUUUGAUAAAGUACAAGAAAAAAAAAACUGCAACUUAAGUAGAUGACGUGAUUCUUCACCCGGACAACAAGGAAGAAGACAUGAAAUCGGGAACACUGGAUGACGAAGUACACAAAUUAAACUUAUCUAAUCCAUUUUAAUAAAUUGUUACAGGGUGGCCAGUGGUCGGGAAUAAAUCACAGACUCGCAUUUCAGAUACCUCACGAACUUGAUUUUUGUUACUAACAAAUCACAUGAAGGUGACCAAGAGAAGGUUGAAAUGUCAUUGUGAGACGUCUUUCUUACCCUCGAAAGAUGAACUACCGUAAUGAAGCCACCAACUCAUCUUUUUAAAGGAAAGAAAAUCUAAGCCGUCCUAAUACAUGUUGUCACUCAUGGGAAUUAGAGAAGAAAUAUUCGUUAGCCACUUACAGUUGGAUGCUUAUUAUAUUAACUAGUUACAAAGUCAAAGGUUUUUCAUUGAAUGGAAUCAUAAGAUGUAAACAUCUAGGAUUAAUAUUUGGAAAAUAAUUAAACUCAAUCCCACCGCGUAGUUCUGUAACAAGUUUAUAUGUCUAAUAGAGUUUAUAGAUCUAAUAGUUAGUUAAGAGUAUUCAUUCUUACUCUUGAAGUUUUUUUGUUGACACUCUCUCUUUUAACCAUUUCUUGUAAUCAUUACAAGAAUUUGGAUUCUUUUAAUCCUAGGAGUGCAAUACUAAUUCUUAAUCUUUGUGUUAACCAUAAUAUCAUGACACAUAUCACCAAGUAUGAUCAGCAACUAGGAGAACGAGAGAAGAUGCGUGACUUAAGAAAAUUGAUGUGAUUUUGGAUUUUUUUUUACUUUAUGCACGCCCGCUCUUUAAAAAAAAAGAAAAAAGAUAUGUGAAAGGUGAAAAACAGUUGUUUCCGACAAACAUAAUUCACUUUCUAUAUGUGUACUUUGUAUUUUUUUUCAUCAAGUAAGGAAAUGGUGAAAAGAAAAAUGUACAUUAAUCGUAUCAUAUGAUAUAUUGUUCUUCUCAAGACAACUAAGAAGCUAAACUUAAUGUCAGAGAUUAAGACGUUUUGUUGGCUUGUCAUUCAAGGAAAGCUUAAUACAUAUAAUAUAGAGUUGGGAAGGUUAAUUUGUCCGUAUCUUGUGUAAAACAUGAUCUGGAUUUCAAACCCCCUAGACUUUUUGUUGUCCUACUCACGCAGCCCAUUCCCAAGUUCCAACCCUCCCAACAACCCUAUCCAGGAAGGCCAGCGCAGAUGUUAAGGCUGUGACCAGGGUUGUAAUACCAUCUCCAAUGGAUAAGUCAAAUCAUAAGUGGAAUGUCGCAUAAUUAAAUUUAAAAGUAAAAAAGAAGUUCCAACCGAUAGUUUUUCCGGAUCCUGAAAGAGUGGAUAACCGUGACUUAUCACCACUUGUCUUAUUUUUCGAAGAAAAAAAAAUGUCAAUCCUAUGUGAAUUAACAUGAGUUUUUGGUAUCAAAAUUGACAUGAAAAAUGUGUUGGCAAUUAAUUCUUUAGUGAUUUUAUUGUGCGGGUUUUAUUAAUGGACCAAUUCUAAAGCUUAAAAAUUAUUUUAAUUGAUUUCUUUUUCAUAAUGAACCUACGGAUAUUAAUUAUAAAUUUGACAUUACCACAUCAAUCGUUAAAAUUAACAUUUGACAUUCAUUUUUUGACUUUUCCAUUGAAGAUGUUCCAAUUAGCUUCAAAUGCCUUCGAGUUGAACUCAUGUUUGGGUCGUUUUAGGCAUGUUCAAUCUCUACUUGCAAGUAAAAGGAGUCGGGCACGAACAUAAUAUUCAGUUCGAUACAAAGAUGAGAUAGAAUUUUAGUAUGAUCAAAAGCUCGUAAAACUCUUAACAUCCCAUAUCAUUUUAUAUUGGACAUGCAAUCAUUUGAAAGUAUAGAGCUAUGCUUAAGCACAAAUUAUAUCAUUUGAACCAAGCACCUGGUACUUGGCGCGACUCAUCAACGCAGCUCUUGCAUUUUGUCCUUUGAUUUCUUCAAUAUAAAACCAUAAAUAAAUAGAAAUGUGCAAGAUAAGACGAGUCUGAUAAGAUUUCAAUAGAAGUGUUCCAUACGAACACUGUGCCAAGCACUUUUCAGCUGUUGGAUCGACGGAAUUUUACCACUGCUAGGCUAACAAUAUAAUUUCCGUUCGAUCUCUUUCAUAAACGAAACACUAAAACAUGAAUCGAUUUAUCAAUCACCCGAUUAACAUACUCCAAGAAACAGGAAAACAAUCAGUCACAAAUUACUCGCAAAUCGCAAUUAAAACGAAAGAAAUUGAGAAAUCCGGACUAGGCUACAAGCACGUCAAGUCAAGAUCGGCAAAACAUUUAAUAAAACACCAAAUCUGUCAUAUUUUCUGACCUUCCAAAUAUUCAAGUCCAUAACAGAAUGAACAAGCUGAAAACAGCAGAUGAAAUAUGCACAAAGGGAUACACCAAACGUACCUCCAUCGCGAGAAAGAUACACUGCGUUUUGUGAUCGCAUCUACACCAAGCGCUUCGUCCGACAAAACCAUCACUACACAUAUAGGUAUAGAAAAUAUCUAGCAUAGCGUCUUCAUCUCAUUUCUCAAACAGACAAUAUUAUACAAUGACAUUCAACUGGGUGUUUGCUUCGAUGAGUUCUACAACAGACAGGAAAUCAGAUCAUCAAGCACUAAUCACUAAUGACAUCGUCUCUUGAGCAAUCUCUCUAAUUUUCUCUUUCCUUGAGUGUACAGUAUAACCUCUAUAUUCAUAUGAGAAACAAACGAAAAAAACAAAGCCUCAUCCAUAUCCCAAACACCUAAAAAUGAGCCGGUCAGAAUGUUGCAAAAAGAGAAGUUUCGGGUAUUUCAGAAAUUUUCUGAGUCGUGUCAUAACUCUCAAGUGCCAUUGGAGGGUUCUGAAAUUUCCUGAGAUUUCAUGCAUUUAGUUCAGUGUGGGGCUGAGAGCCUGAUAGAACAAGGGAGAACCAAACAUCAAGAAAGACGAGAGAGAGUGUCCUACCUGGACUUCUUGGAGGAGAGAUUCAAGUUGAGCUGUUAUAUCGGAGAAGGAAGGCCGAUUGGAAGGAACUGAAUCCCAGCAACUCUGCAUUAAUUCCAAAACCUUGGGGUGUCCAUUAUUCGGAAUUUCCGGUCUCAGCCCCUGGGAAAUAGAAUGUCAAACAAAACAUAACUAUUUAGGCACAAAAGAAUUUGGAUAAAAUACUACGCUGAGUGAACAGCCAAACCAGUUGGUAUGUACCAUUGUACAUGAUUUCAGAGGCAUAAUUUAUACUUAUUUAUAUUAUAAGCAACAAAAAUGUCAUCAGAAGAUACAGAAAUUUGUUAUUCACUAAGUUUUACCCUUUUCUUGCGUUUAUAAAAUAUAUGCCUGCUUUGUAACAGCUUUUUUUAGUUUGAAUGGGAGGAUAUUCAGACCACAGGGUUACAAACAUAAACUCAGGCACGUCAUCAAUUCAAACUUUAAUUCGACAUGUAGAAUUGUCAACAUCUGUAAGAUACACACAUGGCAGGCAACAGGACGAAACACCAUAGAGGAAAAUUUAUAAUCAAGUUGCAUGAACUGUGGAUUAACAGGAUUUCUUAAGCAGCAAAUACAAUGCGGGCUAUAGAAAACACGUCUUCAUUCAUCAAUAUUCAAUACACAGACGAACAGAUAUAAAUAAUACAUAUGUAUUAUAAAUGGAUAUACGAAUAAACAAUAAACCUGUCUAACUCCCAAGGCAGCUUGCAAUGGAGUCAUGGUAUCAUAUGGAACCUGCAAUACAAAAUCAUACGAGUUUGAAAAUAAAUAAAUAAAAAAAUCUUAAGAAGUUUGAUAAUGUCCACAUCCAAAAUUCCCAAUACACAGAGGAAGCAUACUUUGGCUGUUACUAGCUCCCAAAGUACAAUUGCGAAACUGAACACAUCUGCUUUCUGAUCAUAUGGUUGAUGGUUGAUAACCUUGCAAAAUACAAGAAACCAAUAAGAUAUUGAAAUAAGAAUGUAAAUCAAUGUCGUCAAACUACGGUGCAUCUGCUAUGGUAAUGACGCAGUAACAAAACCAGAAUGUUGACAUCCAAAAUGCAAUUAACAAAACAGGAAAUUCAAUGAACCAUAGCCUGCUUGCCAAAACAAAGGGAUAUUGAUAAUUGUUUAUGAUAAACUAAUCAAUCCAUAGAUCACAACAAAGGACCAAUUUGUGAACCAAGUCCAACGGUUUAAGAGUUGACAAUAAUUUUCACGAAGAGACAAAGCAGGAAAAAAAAAGCAGAGGAAAAUAUUGAACCAGAAGAAUCGGACCUCAGGUGCCAUCCAUCGAUAGGUUCCAGUCUCUGCUGUCAUUACUCCCUCUUGAUUCUGAAACCGAGCAACACCAAAAUCUGCCACCUUUACAACCUGAAGGCAAACAAGAAAAUGAUUUUCAACUGUAAAAGAAAAGAAAAACCUAUUUGUUUUUCCUAAACAGAAAAAUAGAAUAGCCAGGAUGUGAGAGGAGAUUUCAACCAUUUAUACUUGGAAAUCUAACCAGGAAACAGUUUACCCAUUAUCAUAAACAAAUAAUGCUGUGUUUAGCUUUGAACUUUACUUAUAGUUAUUAAAAAAUAUAAAUAUACUUGUCGAAAGUAGAAUUGCAUUACCCCACAUCUUUAAACACAAAUCUAACUUCAUCAUUCAUGACAUCCUGAAAGUAUCAAAUUCACCAUCGACAAAAACUCAGAAGACAUCAAUUCCAGUAUGUCCAUGAGAAUUUUGGUCGAAUUGAACUUUUGACAUGCAGAUAUACUUCUCCCAUAAUCAAACUUCAUACCUCAAAGCACAACGCACAAUUACCCCAUACAAAACAAUAGACGGUUUGGUUACUCAAGUCCAAUAACUACAACUUAUAUCAACUAAAGCAGCAAUAGAUCCACUGAAGACAUUAGCCCUUUUAAAAAAAUUACAAACAAAUCUAUUGAACUUUAUCGUUUUCCUGUCGCCUAAGUUAAGCUGUAUAUGUACAAUGACAAAUUAAAUCAAUAGAGUUAUCAUGAAUAUGCGUAGGUUACAUUUUGCAGAAAGUGAAGCUGCCAAACAAGCAAACAAUAACCUUUAAUUCUUACAUUGUUAGUGUCCAUUAGCAGAUUUGCCGUCUUUAGAUCCCUAUGAAUUAUGUUAUUAUGAUGCAAAUACUCCAUUCCUUUACAGACAUCAAUUGCAAACUUUAGCAGUUCUGAAAGCUUCAAGAUGUUAUGAUUCUUAUGCAAAUAAUCGUAAAGACUUCCACCGGGCAUAUACUCUGCAAAAAAUAAAAAACAAAUGAAUUUUCAUAAUUAUGGUAAUAGUACAAUACAGCAACAAGUCGGCACUGGACUAAUUAUACUCAUCUCAAACUACAAACAGAUCUAAACAGUAAAGUUUUACAUAAAGAAAUCAAGAUGAAAUCAACAAUAAAGCUCUAACCAUAAAAAGAUACCCUGCCAAAUACUAUCCCAAAAUUCUCAAGAAACAACAUCCAAAGGUAAUCCCAAAACAAAAUCUAUCCCACGAAUGAUUACAUCCUUCAACUCCUAACCUACAUGAAGCUUCAUAAUACGCACCAAGUUGCCAAAGGCUGGCUGAUUGACAAAUUACAUAUAAUAGGGAAUUCCAAUAUGCACGACAUCCAAACAGCUUAGAGGAAUUUAAAAUAUAUAACACACAAGUAAAAUCUUCCUAAAUGCUGCAUACUCAGAGAAGAAGUACUAGCGCAUCCAAAACUUAAAAGAGUAUAAAUAAUGUGUAAGUAUGUUCCAACAACAACAACAAGGCAUUUUCCCACUAAGUAGGGUAGGCUAUAUGAAUCCUAGAACGCCAUUGCGCUCGGUUCUGUGUCACAUCUUCUGUUAGAUCCAAGUACUCUUAAGUCUUUUCUUAUAGUCUGUUCCAAAGCCUUCCUAGGUCUUACUCUACCCCUUCGGCCUUAAACCUCUGUCCUGUAAUCGCAUCUAGUGUAAGUAUGUUCCAAGAAAGAUAUUUUUAGUUCCAUUAAUACUUCUCCUGAUCCUAAUAAAAAUUUUCAAAAAGAUAGAAUGAAAACUUUGGUUGGCUACACCUAUAUUGGUGGAAACCAUCCGAUGUCAUUGAUUUUUUGUAGAAUGAUAUCCUUUGGUCCAUAAAAGAUAUUUUAUGAGAUCCGUUUUGGCGAAUGGUAAAAGGGGAUAGCUUUUAAGAAGGGAAAUGUGAGUGUGUUGGGGUGGAUUUUCUCCCUUUUUAUGUUCCUUGUAAAAGAAUAUACUAUGCUUCACUAACAAAAUUAAAAAGUAAAAAAGAAAACUUAUAAACAAUCUGAUGCUUAUUCUUACUUUUCUUAGUUGCACUGCUUCUAAAAACAUCUCCACAUGUAAGAUUCUGAUACAGAAUGAACAAAACCUCGAAAGAAGCUAACUUAACAAAUAUAGUAAAUGUUGGAGGCAACCAACAGGAGAGUUCCAUACCUGUCACUAUGCACAAAUGUGGAGACUUUGUACAUGCACCGAUAAAGCGCACAACAUUACUAUGAUGGACCUCUCUGCAAUCAUAAAACAAAUAUAAUAUAUAUCAGUAUUGCUUAAUAGCAAUACGCAUGCCAACAUAACCUAUAAAAUGGAACAACAGUUUUCUUUUCCCUUGAAUAAGAGACAAUUUAUUAGUAAAGAAUAAGAUACAGAGAAGACACUAUGAAAAACUAGAAACAGCAAAAGGUGGAACCUAGCCAUGAAUUUUAACUGCCUAGAUGUGUGAAAUGCAGCAUGGGCUAGCUGCAUUUUACUUAACUAUCAGAAAAUUCAUUCACUUUAUGGGUUUCAAGAAUAGUUACAGCUAAUAUACCACAAAAUGAAAGACUAGCUGCAUUAAAUGUGAUUUUUUAAAUGACACAAUAAGACAUGUUUCUUGGUUCCAUUUGUAAUUACAUUUGGCAUAUUCUUCCAAAGCCUCGUCGAAAUAAAGACCAGCAACCUGGAUAUUCAACCAGCAAUCCUGGAUAUUCAACCAGCAAAUCCAGAAAACGUGAAGCAUUCUCUUGUCAUUCCCAGAGAUUAUAGGAAUUGUUCUUGUACAGGCUAGUAUAGAAGUUCAUUAUGGAGGAUGUUGGAAAAUAAUGGAAAAAUCUUUAAAAGUUUACAAGUGGAGAAGAGCUCUCAAUAGAAAUGAUAAGAGUGAUUUCAUAUGAACUCCCCAGCAGGGACCAGCCUAGAUUAAAAGAAGAUAAAGAUAGAAAAUUAUUCACCUUAAAAUUGCCACUUCUUGAGCAAACUCAUCCUCUAGAGCAUCAUUCAAAUGUUCAGAUCUCAAAAUCUUAACAGCAACAUCUUGACCAAGAUAAAUUCCACGAUACCUGAGAAUGAACAGUAAUAUAAAGUUAAGCAGCAGAGAAGACUAUAAACGAAUAAAGGAAUGCCAAAAAUAAAACAUAUCUUACAAAUCUCCACAUGACCCAGAUGCAAUUCUGUCUCCGAUCAUUAAUAAUCUUCGGUCUAUUUCCCAGAGUCCUGUCUUUUCUUUCACCGAUAAUUCUUUCUCCACAGCCGAAUGAGAAUGUGAAGAUCUUGACCAUGACCCCUAAAUUACCAAACAACAGAUACGUAUUACUAUCUUAUAAUUCUUCGAUUAUUUUAGCAUUGUGACGCAAUAUACCUCACUUCUAGCAAUUGCCUUUUCCAUAGCUUCAUACAGACCAUCUGUAUCCUGACCACAACAUUGCAAAGUCAGCAACAUUUGAACUCAGCACAGUUGUCAUAAAAUUAAUAUAAUCACAAUUCCCCUUAAUGUAUUCUGAAGACAUUUUCUUGGAGGAACUGUAGCUUUUUCGACUUGUCCAAUUUGAUAAAACCCAAUAUUUAUAACAAACAUAUUGGGAUGCAUUAGAUCCAAUAAUUGUAGCAAUGCCAUAUUACAGCCCAGAGAUAAACACUGACUAAAAAGCGUUCAUCCAUGCAUAAAAAGAGAAAGCACAUAAACAGCUUGCAGUAUAGCAAAAUCCAUAGCCAACAAAAAUAAGCAUAUUGUAGUAGCAAUGUACCACAUAUUUUAAGAAAGGCCAUCCAACGUUUCGUGUAUUGGAAAUUACUCAUUUAUAAUAUAAUAACAUGCAAAAUUUCAAGAUUCAAAACUCUGACAGUAGAAAGUAAUCUGUGAAUGACGAUAAACACAUUAUAUAGUAAAAGAAAACUACCUCAACAGGCCAUCCAUCUACCACAAAUACAUCUAAAGAGUAGCCAUCGCUCGUCGAGAAGACAUGUGCUUCACGGAUGUUAAGUUCCAAAUCCGAAAGCAAGGAAGAAAGCUACAGAAUGAUGACAUAAGUUAGAAAGAUGCGACCACAGUAUGGUUACACUUCUGCAGUUAUCUUGGAUUCUACAACAUAAACAAUGCAUAUAAUAUGUAUCAAAUGUACUGAAUAGUCCAUUGCUACCUUUAAAUUCAUUUUCCAAUUGAAUUUGAAGGCUAUAGAUUUUCAACUUUAUAUUAAUGAAAGAAAUCAUAAUGAAAAAGAACUCUUCCAAUACAACGUCUUCUCACAAUUAUAUUUAAUACCCAAGCUUACUGCAUUGAGGUGCCAGCGUGUGAGGUCUAGACACUAGAGUUGACACAAAACAUCAGAUGGAGAACCAUAAAACAUGAAUGACGGACCAUCACAGUGUCACAUGAAAACAAAGAUAGUUGCUUGAGUUAUAAACAUUAGGUAUUGAACACACAUUCAUAUUAGUGAGUACCAAGAGAACUGCUUAAGUGGAGACAGAGUAUUACAGGAUAAUGAAGCUAUCAAAUGAUGUCAAAUUUCAAUACCCUUUAACAUUGAAGAAAUUAUGUACAUGUGGACACUAAAACUACAGAAAUACUAUCACUUGAUGCUAUUCAAUCAGAUGAUCCUUUUGAUUAUUAAUUGAAAAAAGGAAUGCUGAAUCCAACUUCAUGAUCCAGAAUGUAAGUGCAAUAUCAGAUAAGUUUGUCCACUAUCCUAUCAUACUAAUCUUAUAUGACCCCUUUGAGAUAUAACUCGUUGAACAGUUGAACUUAGUUUACCAAAUAGACCUUCAGCUUUAAUUUGCAAACACGUAAGGGAACAAUCAGCAGAUUUUCGGGCUUCAAACUCUGAUUUCUUUUCAGAUUCUAAGAAUAUUUUGAAACUGAGAUCGAGGUAAACUCCAGGUGGUAAUACCAAACUUGACAACAAACGAAUAAAUUAAACCUUCUCAGUCAUACCUGGCUAAGAAGCUUAGGCUUGUCAAUAGUUGAAAAUAUUACUUCAUGAAUGGGAACAUGUGGUAUAUCUUGCCUGCGUUAUACAGCCCAAUGGUCAAUAUCAUUUCUGCAUAAUUAUACAUGUUUUUUCUUUAAAUGAGAAACAAAGUUUUACUAAAGAUACUCAAAAACACAGUACAAGACUCUGAACAAACUGGUCCACCAACAAAAUGAUUCAACUAAUGAAAAACAAAUCUGAAUUACACCUAUGACAAUGUAAUGGAACUUUCAAAAUUACCCUAUAAGAGCUUCCCAAUCUAAUAAGAUGUUAGAAAUUGGUAGAUCCCUAAAGGGUGGAGAAAAACAAGCUGAUAAGCAUAAAUGUGAUCUCUCAAAUAUACGGGCACAGUUCAUAUAAAAACUGCACAAUUAAAAUAUAAAGUAUAUGAAAAAGACCCGGAUAAAGGAGGAGGGGGAGGGCGUCAGGUAGUCGACAGCCGGCACUCCAUGAUCACGUCGAAUCCUUAUGAAAAUGAAUCCAGAACAAAAUCGCGCUAAAGCUAGGGCGUCACCCGUAAGUGGCGCGCUGUGUGGCCUGAGCACAGUGAUAAGUGAGCAAGGGUCGCUGUAUCUCCAUCGGCACCCGGAUGCAGUGUUAAAUGAGCAAGGGGGCCAUAGAAACUUCUUUUCGAACGACUCCACUCAAAGUUGUUUGGGAGCAUAUGCUCCUAUCAACUUUACCCGGGACACACAAAAGAAGUACUUUGAUCCUAUUAGACGGGGGAGGGUGAAGAAGCUAGGACAGAAGGGUAGAGUUCAAGAGAGCAAAAUGCGUUUAGGAACGUGGAAUAUAGGAACCUUAACGGGAAAAUCUAUGGAAGUAGUGGAAGUUAUGGUGAGGAGAAGGAUAAAUAUUAUGUGCCUACAAGAAACUAAGUGGGUUGGUAGUAAGGCAAAGGAUCUAGAAAACUCAGGGUUUAAACUUUGGUAUUCGGCACAAAUAGAACGAGAAACGGUGUUGGCAUCAUCGUGGACAAGACCUUGGUACAAGAUGUUGUAGAUGUCAAGAGGGUAGGAGAUAGAAUCAUGGCAAUCAAGAUUGUAAUAGGACAAGAACUUAUCAAUGUGAUUAGUGCGUACGCACCUCAAGUAGGGUUGGAUACGAGUUCGAAGGAGAAAUUUUGGGAAGAUCUUGGAGACUUGGUGCAAGGAAUUGCUCAGACGGAGAAGUUAUUUAUAGGAGGAGAUUUAAAUGGACACGUGGGCAGGGAGACAGGCAACUAUGGAGGUUUUCAUGGUGGCCAUGGUUUUGGGGAGAGAAACGAGGAUGGGGAAGCUAUCUUGGAUUUUGCAAUGGCAUAUGAUCUCUUCUUAGCCAACACCUUCUUUAAGAAGAGAGAAGAACAUGUGAUCACCUACAAGAGUGGGUCGUCAAAAACACAAAUAGAUUUUCUUCUAAUGAGGAAAGGGGAUCGUAUAACUUGUAAGGAUUGCAAAGUUAUACCAGGAGAGAGCGUGGCUAAUCAACAUCGCUUGUUGGUGAUGGAUGUACAUAUCAAAAGAGUAAGACAAAAGAACAAGACUUGGAAGUGCCCAAGGACUAGAUGGUGGAAUCUAAAAGAAGAAAAACAAGCCAUUUUCAAAGAGAAGGUAAUCACCCAAUGUGUGUGGGAUAGAGAGGGGGAAGCUAGCCAAAUGUGGGAUUCCAUGGCUAGUUGUAUCCGAAAAGUAGCAAAAGAGGUAUUAGGAGAGUCCAAGGGCUUUGCCCCACACCAAAAGGAAUCUUGGUGGUGGAAUGAGGAGGUACAAACAAAGGUGAAGGCUAAGAAGGAAUGUUGUAAAGCCUUAUACAAGGAGAGGACUGAUGAAAAUGGUGAAAGGUAUAGAAAAGCGAAGCAAGAGGCGAAGAAAGCUGUCAGAGAAGCUAAGUUAGCGGCUUACGACGAUAUGUAUAAACGACUAGAUACCAAAGAAGGAGAGUUGGAUAUCUAUAAACUAUCUAGAGCAAGGGAAAAAAGAAGACAAGGGACCUAAACCAAGUGAGGUGCAUCAAGGAUGAGGAUGGAAAGGUUCUUGCUACAGAGAACGCGGUUAAAGACAGAUGGAGAGGUUAUUUUCAUAAUCUUUUCAAUGAAGGACAUGAAAUGAGUGCUUCUUUAGGGGAGUUGAGUAACUCAGAAGAGUGUAGAAACUACUCUUUUUAUCGUCGAAUCCGGAAGGAAGAAGUGGUUGUAGCUUUGAAGAAGAUGAAGCAUAAAAAAGCAAUAGGCCCAGACGAUAUACCAAUCGAAGUGUGGAAACUUUUGGGAGAGACAGGUAUAACAUGGCUCACUGACCUUUUCAAUAGGAUUUUGAAAACGAAGAAGAUGCCAAAUGAGUGGCGAAUGAGCACUUUGGUGCCUAUCUACAAGAAUAAGGGCGACGUACAAAAUUGCAUGAACUAUAGGGGUAUUAAGCUAAUGAGUCAUACAAUGAAGCUCUGGGAGAGAGUCAUUGAGCAUAGAUUGAGGCAAGAGACACGGGUUUCGGACAACCAAUUCGGGUUCAUGCCAGGGCGCUCAACCAUGGAGGCAAUCUAUCUCUUACGAAGAUUGAUGGAAAUAUAUAGAGAUGGGAAAAAGGAUUUACACAUGGUCUUUAUAGAUUUGGAAAAAAGCGUAUGAUAGGGUCCCAAGAGACAUUCUUUGGAGGAUUUUAGAGAAGAAAGGAGUAGUACGAGUAGCAUAUAUCCAAGCUAUAAAGGAUAUGUAUGAAGGAGCAAAGACUGCCGUAAGAACUCAUGAAGGACAAACCGAAAGCUUUCCCAUAACUGUAGGAUUACAUCAAGGCUCAUCCUUAAGUCCUUACCUUUUUGCGUUGGUAAUGGAUGAGUUAACACGACAUAUUCAAGAUGAUAUUCCUUGGUGUAUGCUUUUCGCAGACGAUAUAGUGUUGAUAGAUGAAACUCAGGAAGGGGUAAAUGCAAAGCUUAACCUUUGGAGAGAAGUGUUGGAAUCUAAAGGUCUUCGCCUAAGCCGAUCAAAGACAGAAUAUAUGGAGUGCAAGUUCAGUGCAAAUGGAGGCCAAAACGAGUUAGGGGUGAGGAUCGGAGAUCAAGAAAUACCAAAGAGCGACCGUUUUCGUUACCUAGGAUCUAUCUUUGCAAAAGAACGGAGAAUUAGAUGGAGAUCUCAACCAUAGAAUACAAGCUGGAUGGAUGAAGUGGAAGAGUGCAUCCGGCGUGUUGUGUGACCGCCGUAUGCCACUGAAGCUCAAGGGAAAAUUUUAUAGGACGGCAAUAAGGCCGGCGAUGCUGUAUGGCACAGAAUGUUGGGCGGUGAAACAUCAACACGUACACAAAAUGGGUGUAGCGGAGAUGAGGAUGCUUCGUUGGAUGUGUGGGCACACGAGAAAGGAUAAGAUUAGGAAUGAGGAUAUCCGGGGUAAAGUAGGAGUAGCCGAAAUUGAAGGAAAGAUGAGAGAAAAUCGGUUACGGUGGUUUGGACAUGUGCAAAGAAGGCCUACUGACGCUCCGAUUAGAAGAUGCGACUAUGGGACAGAGGUUCAGGGCCGAAGGGGUAGAGGAAGACCUAGGAAAACUUUGGAAGAGACUCUAAGAAAAGACUUAGAGUACUUGGAUCUAACGAAGGAGGACAUGACACAGGAUCGAGCACAAUGGCGUUCUAAGAUUCAUAUAGCCGAUCCCACUCAGUGACUUGGAUUUUCCAAGUCUCCAACCGAGAAGUUUUCCUCACUCGGGAAAUUAAGGGAACACUACCCCAACCUACAUGCUCCACUCAGAAAGCUUCAACAUACAAGCUUCAACAAAAGAAAAUUCAAAGAACUUAGCGAAGAAGGCUUUGGUGUAUUUAACACAAUACGUUGAAAUGAAGGAAAGCUUAUUUAUUGAUAUCCCCGAUAAGCUACAAAUAUGUACAUAUACAUGAGUCAAAAUAAACACAAGAGGGAGCCUUCACAAAGGUUGCUUAGGAGAAGUCUCAGCAGUCGGUAGAGCCCCAGAAAGAGAAGGCACCGGAGGGGGAUCAUUUGGAGCCUCAGUACUGGACAGAACCCUAGAAGGAGGAGGCAUCAGAGGUUGAUCAUUUGGAGCUUCAUUACGCGGUACAGCCCCAGAAGACGAAGGCAAUAAAUGCCUUUGGAACAAACCCACAAAUCUCUGAUGAUCAAGUAAAACCUGACCAUCAGUUUCCUUCAUCUGGUCAAGCUUCCUCUUCAUGUUUGUAGCAUAGUCAUGUGCGAGCCGGUGCAACUGUUUAUUCUCAUGCUUGAGCCCUCUAAUCUCCUGUUUGAGACUCAUCACUUCAGCCGCCAAUGAUUCAACUUGGCGGGUUCGAGCAAAUAGGCGUUGGGCCAUAUUAGACACAGAACCUGCACACUGAACACUGAGAGCCAGCGAAUCCUUAACAGCUAACUCAUCAGACCGUUUGGAAAGUAGUCUGUUAUCUUUGGGAGUGAGAAGGUUCCUGGCCACCACCGCAGCGGUCAUAUCAUUCUUCAUCACGGAAUCCCCAACGGUAAGAGGACCAGUAGGGGAGACGAAGGAUGGGCGCCAUAUGUUGUCUGGAGAAGGCGGGGCUGCCUCUUCAACAAGGUUCAAGUCAAAACGACGGUCGGAGGGGCCAGACAUUUUCAAAGGUGUUGAAGAGAGAAGAGGUCGGACAAAUCAAGAUCUUAGAAGUGCAAGAAUGAAGCUUCUACUGGUGGAGAUUCAAGUGUGCUUUGGAACUUAAUGCCAGCCCCUAUAUAAAAAUCUGCACUCGACGAAGCUUUAGAAAUCGAAGAGGCGCCUGCUCAGAAAUCGAAGAGGCGUUUGCUUUCUCAAAAGCUGGGCUGCUUAGAGAUCACGAGGGUUGAUCUCAGAAAUCGAAGAGGUGUUUGCUUUCUCAAAAGUUAGGCUGCUCAAAGACCACGAAGGCCGAUCUCAAAAAUCGAAGAGGCGCUCGCUUUCUCAAAAGCUGGGCUCCCCAGAGACCACGGGGGCCGAUAUCAGAAAUCGAAGAGGCACCUACUUUUCCAGCCUUUUCCAGCCUUGUCAGCACCUGUCACACGCACACUCAGUUUUGCGGAAAUUAUGGGCAUUCUGUCAAAGACUUCUGGGGAAGUAGAAAACACAUGAAUCUUACUGUUCAAUCACCCACUUCCCACACGCAACAAUAGCUCAUGGGUACCACAGAUAACUUUGCCAAAGUUCUCUGCCAAAGUUGAGCACGUGAAGCUUGCAGCUCCUACUACAUCGCUCUGACCAAGAAGGGUAAAAGAAUAGCAAAGAAACAGCACUAACAAAGUUUAGACCCAUAAAUUUUGAAGGUCUAGCUACCAUAUUAUUACCCACAAGGGUAAAGGAACAGUACCACUGCUGGAUAAUUGGAAAGUCCCUGUGUGUCAACCUCUGUGCUUCGUGGCAAGGUAGACUAGCAAACAUGCCCAACCUUUACUCACAUUCGAGAAAACACUCCCAAUAAGAUUGCUUGCUCCAAAAUCGAAGAGGCACCGUCCUCCGAAUCUCGAGAGCCAGACUCCCAACAUGACUACUUUCUUAAAAAUCGAAGAGAGAGGGUAAAGGAACAGUACCAUUGCUGGAUAAUUGGAAAGUCCCUGUGUGUCAACCUCUGUGCUUCGUGGCAAGGUAGACUAGCAAACAUGCCCAACCUUUACUCACAUUCGAGAAAAACACUCCCAACAAGAUUGCUUGCUCCAAAAUCGAAGAGGCACCGCCCUCCGAAUCUCGAGAGCCAGACUCCCAACAUGAUUACUUUCUCAAAAAUCGAAGAGACACUGCUCCCCGAAUCUCGAGAGCCAGACCCCCAGCAUGAUUGCUUUUUCAAAAAUCGAUGAGGCAUCGUUCUCCGAAUCAAUCGAAGAGGCGCUCGCUUUCUCAAAAGCUGGGCUGCUCAGAGACCACGAGGGCCGAUCUCAGAAAUCGAAGAGGCACCUACUUUUCUAGCCUUGUCAGCACCUGUCACACGCACACUCAGCUUUGCAGAAAUUAUGGGCAUUCUGUCGAAGACUUCUGGUGAAGUAGAAAGCACAUGAAUCUUACUGUUCAAUCACCCACUUCCCACACGCAACAAUAGCUCAUGGGUACCACAAAUAACUUUGCCAAAGUUCUCUGCCAAAGUUGAGCACGUGAAGCUUGCAGCUCCCACUACAUCGCUCUGACCAAGAAAGGUAAAAGAAUAGCAAAGAAACAGCACUAACAAAAGUUUAGACACAUAAAUUUUUGAAGGUCUAGCUACCAUAUUAUUACCCACAACUGUAAAGGAACAGUACCACUGCUGGAUAAUUGGAAAGUCCAUGUGUGUCAACCUCUGUGCUUCGUGGCAAGGUAGACUAGCAAACAUGCCCAACCUUUACUCACAUUCGAGAAAACACUCCCAAUAAGAUUGCUUGCUCCAAAAUCGAAGAGGCACCGACCUCCGAAUCUCGAGAGCCAGACUCCCAACAUGAAUACUUACUCAAAAUCGAAGAGAGGGUAAAGGAACAGUACCAUUGCUGGAUAAUUGGAAAGUCCCUGUGUGUCAACCUUUGUGCUUCGUGGCAAGGUAGACUAGCAAACAUGCCCAACCUUUACUCACAUUCGAGACAACACUCCCAACAAGAUUGCUUGCUCCAAAAUCGAAGAGGCACCGCCCUCCGAAUCUCGAGAGCCAGACUCCCAACAUGAUUACUUCCUCAAAAAUCGAAGAGACACUGCUCUCCGAAUCUCGAGAGUCAUACCCCCAGCAUGAUUGCUUUCUCAAAAAUCGAAGAGGCAUCGUUCUCCGAAUCUCGAGAGCCAGAUACCACAGACCACUUUUUCAAAGUGCUCUGACAGAGUUAAAACAUGUGAAACUGGCAGCUCCCACUACCGUGCUAUGACCAAGCAGGGUAAAGGAAUAGCAUUACUACUUGUUGUUAGGGAGACUCCUAUAUAUGUCGACCUCCAUCCCCAACGGACAGGCAGACCUGCAAAAAUGCUCAACCCUUCAUCAUAUCUGAGAGGGCACUCCCAACGAAGCCUUUCGAAAUAUUCAGCUUUCUUUCCCCCCGAUAAUACCUCUGCAAACAAGCUAUACUAGAGCAAGAAUAUCUCAUAUCAUCAGGGUUAAAAGCAAGAGUAUCCCAUAUCAUGCUUUUUCCCUGUCUUUUCUUUUUGGCCUUGUUUUUACCUGCAAGACAAGGAGAAAGAGAGCAAUCAGUCAGCACUUGGAAUCAAGCUUCCAGCCAGGAACUGACUGCCUGGAACCCCUUACCUGAUUACUUACCUGGCAUUGCUCUCGAGUACUCAUCUUCAACAUCUUAUGUUUCCAGGGAAGAUUCCGCAUCUGCUUGAGGAACAGAUAGGGCAAGUGCGAAGGAUACAAGGAAGCAUGUGGAGACAAGCGUAACAGCACACGUGCCGAUACAUUCAUUACUCUGUCAAAAGCAAAAGUAUCCCAUAUCAGCAGGGUGGAACGUACUCUAGAUUUGAUGGACUUGUUUUGACCCUCAAAUUCUUCAGUCGGCCUUAUACUCUGGAGAAAACCAGAAAACCCUCCAGCUCAGUUCAAGAAUAAGCCUGUGGAAAGUUACUUCUUCAAAAGCAAAAGUAUCUCAUAUCAUCUCUUCUCAUUUUUCUUCUCUUUUAUCCUUCAUGCUGCUGCAAGAUGGGGAGAAGGUGAACAAUCAGUCGGAGCUCUGAUUGCUUACCUUGUCUGUCACCUCUUUCAGCAGACCCCUAGCUCGGCGACUUGGGGGACUCCUACUACAUGGUUUGUAUCGCGCUUGACCAAGCCUGAAACUACAAGUAAGCUUCAAGUGAAAUUGAUACAUUACCUUGUGCAUCUCCACCAGUUAAAGAUAUCCACCCCUGGAUGGAGGAAGAGUACUUCCAGAGAAGAUGCCACAUCUACCUAUGAGACAGAUAAGGCAAGUCAAGACGACACCACACUCCGAUACUUAGAAGUUUCGUGAUUACGAGAUCAUUCUCCCACAAUAUUUCCUAAUGUCAUUUGUACUAAAAUCAUUCACUUGUACUCACUAAAUGAGAGCUUGAACCUAUGUACUUGUGUAAACCCUUCACAAUUAAUGAGAACUCUUCUAUUCCGUGGACGUAGCCAAUCUGGGUGAACCACGUACAUCUUGUGUUUGCUUUCCUAUCUCUAUCCAUUUAUAUACUUAUCCACACUAAUGACCGGAGCAAUCUAGCGAAGAUCAUAAAAAGCGAUCGUUUUCGCUACCUAGGAUCUAUCUUGCAAGAGAACGGAGAAUUAGAUGGAGAUCUCAACCAUAGAAUACGAGCUGGAUGGAAAGAGUGCAUCCGGCGUGUUGUGUGACCGUCGUAGGCCACUGAAGCUCAAGGGAAAAUUUUAUAGGACGGCAAUAAGGCUAGCGAUGUUGUAUGGCACAGAAUGUUGGGUGGUGAAGCAUCAACACGUACACAAAAUGGGUGUAGCGGAGAUGAGGAUGCUUCGUGGGAUGUGUGGGCACACGAGAAAAGGAUAAGAUUGGGAAUGAGGAUAUCCGAGGUAAAGUAGGAGUAGCUGAAAUUGUAGGAAAGAUGAGAGAAAAUCGGCUCCGGUGAUUUUGAACAUGUGCAAAGAAGGCCGACUGACGCUCCGGUUCGAAGAUGUGACUACGGGACAGAGGUUCAGGGCCGAAGGGGUAGAGGAAGACCUAGGACAACUUUGGAAGAGACUCUAAGAAAAGACUUAGAGUACUUGGAUCUAACGGAGGACAUGACACAAAACCGAACGCAAUGGCGUUCUAGGAUUCAUAUAGCCGACCCCACUUAGUGGGAAAAGGCUUUGUUGUUGUUGUUGUUGUUGUUGUUGAUUAAGCAUUAAUAUCAGCAUAAAGAAAAAUUAUUUUCUAUUUUUAAUUUGGAAAAUAAGACCUUUAGCAUAUUACUUCAUAAAUAUGUGUAUUUACUAUUUAUGCGUGCAUGCAUAUGUUUGUCUUUAUACAAUUUCAUGAUCACAUUGUACACUUCUAUGUAUCAUGUCUACCCUUUAUACACAUGAAAUAUCAUAUACAGUAAUUGCUUGUCAACACAUUCAUUAGAGCUUUACAAAUCGUUUAUCUAAUUUCUGUUUGAUAAGAUACAACAAAUUUAUCAGAAUAAAAUUUUGAUAAAAAUAGUGCACAUUAAAGCAAGAAGAAAGUAAGUUUUAAACAAGUGUCUUCCAACCUAUAGAAAGAGGGCUUCUCAAAAUUCCACCCAAAACUUUAACACUGAAAGCCUAUAAUAAGGCAACAUACAUUAUUCUACCCCUAAUUGCUACAAAUUCUUGAUGCUUGACCCAUAGCAAUUUUUCAGUGUGCAUCUCAAUAUUAACUUAGUCUUCAUCAUCCCAAGUCCUCAAAAAUGUAUACGCAAAAUAUGAGAAGUCAAAUGAAGCAAAACAAUAACUAACUUCGCUGCACAUAACAAUCUGCUCCAUAACUUAACCAAUGCAUAUGUUCAUCCAAAAGAAAAUGAUGCAUCUAUUCACCAUUCUUUCUACUGUUAAUUCACCAUUUACGAUAUAAAGAAAGGUCUGACUCACCUUCGAAGAAAAUUACUAGUGCUAAAUUUUUCAUAAGCUUUGCCCAAGGUAAAAGUUAACUUUCCUAGGAACCAGUGGAUUCCAUUAAAUCUUUAGGAAAAAAACUGAUAGAGUGACAACCAAUCAACCUUCAGAAUAAAGAGUUCCUACAAAAGAGUUCCUCAAAAUAAUUAGGGACCAAAGCCAUUAUGACUUGUUGCUCUUGAUAUGCAAUGGGUUUCUAUUGAGCACUUUCAUUUUGGGUAUUGUUGGUUAGAGACCAAAAGCUUGCAGCUCACUAAGAUAAAGUAAACGAGUAAACCAAUAUAUUGGUGGCAAUUGAUGUAUCAAAUGGUAAGAAUUAAUCUGACAAUGUGAAAAGGAUGGUGAUUUUCACACCCCAUUUACCUCCCGCACACUCUUUCGAUUUUUUAAUAUCUUUUUGCUCUUCCAUCACUUUGUCUUUAUUUUAGAGGUGGGCCUUCACCAAGAGCAAACAAAUAUUAAAAUUUUGAAAAUGUGUGGGAAGUAACAUGGGGUGUGAGAAAAUCACCACCCAUGUGAAAAAAUUAAAAAUCUUGUUAUAAUGAACCCAGUAGUGCUUAUUCUAGAACAGAAAACAAGCCAACAAACUUUGGUUGAGUACCUUGUGGGAGAAUCCUUGGUCAGAUGUCUUCCGUCCAUAUCCUUAGCAUUCUUUCUAACAUCCAAAUUUAGGUCCCCGAGCUUAGAGCAAGGUUCAAAGUCAGCCGCACAAUUCCUAGUUUUACUCAGAGAAAUGAUAUAAAUAAAUGACAACCAAAAAAGGUCCACAGAUCAAUAUCCAGAGUCACCGAAACCCUUGUUGGGAAAAACUACGGCAAAAAGUUUAAGCACUCAGAGACAAAGUACAACACAGAUAUAAUAUGGUUAUUACCUAUCAUGUGACAGAGUAGCUCCUUCACUAGUUUCAUCACAUGAUGACCUUGGGGUUGAAACAACACUUGUACAUUGUUGAACAUCAUCAUCUUCGUCGUCUGUCCCCAUAGAAGUAUUCUGAUCAUAAGUACAUAAAAUGAUGAACAUAAGAGGAACUUAAUGAUAAAUAAAAGGGUAAAUCGCCAAAAUGGUCCCUGAGAUUUGCAUAACUUAUCACUUUGGUCCCCAAGAUUCCAAAUCGAUAAAAGUGGUCCCUGAGAUUGUCCACCAUCCAUCAUUUUGGUCCUUCCGUUAAGUGUCCCAGAGCUCUUGGCCAGAAGUUUGGGCAAUUUUCAAAGCUUCGUAACUCAAUCGUUUCUUAACCAAAUUCGAUCCAUAAUAUAUCAAAAUGAAGAUAGGAAAGUGUAGAAUAAGAUUAUACCUAUUUCGAAGCCCAAUGGUUGCCGGAGAUGGCCGGAAAAUAGCCUCAAAGUUGACUGGUCCGAGCGAAAACUUGAAAACUCGCCGGAAACUGGGUAAACUUUAAACGUUCGUAACUUCUUCAAUACUCAACGAAAUCAAGUGAUUCAAAAACGAAAAUCAUACUUCUCGAUGAGACAAAGAGAAUGGUCUAGGUACCAUUCUCUUUGUCUUGUCGAGAAGUAUUUCUCUUUGUCUCGUCGAGAAGUAUAAUUUUCGUUUUUGAAUCACUUGAUUUCGUUGAGUAUUGAAGAAAUUACGAACGUUUAAAGUUUACCCAAUUUCCGGCGAGUUUUCAAGUUUUCGCUUGGACCAGUCAACUUUGAGGCUAUUUUCCGGCCAUCUCCGACAACCAUUGGGCUUCGAAAUAGGUAUAAUCUUAUUCUACACUUUCCUAUCUUCAUUUUGAUAUAUUAUGGGUCGAAUUUGGUUAAGAAACGAUUGAGUUCCGAAGCUUUGAAAAUUGCCCAAACUUCCGGUCAAGAGCUCCGGGACACUUAACGGAGUUUUUAAUGGAAAAUGAUGGAUGGUGGACAAUCUCAAGGACCACUUUUAUUGAUUUGGAAUCUCAGGAACCAAAGUAAUGAGUUAUGCAAAUCUCAAGGACCAUUUUGGCGAUUUAGCCUAAAUAAAAUAGAAGGGGAAAAAAGAACUAAUGUCACAUUGGAACACCACACCACCAAAGUUUCUCAUGCUUUACAAGAUUCUGUAAGAUCUUAUUUUCAAGUGUAGUCAAGGCUUCUUUAGGUAAAGUGACAGUCAGUACAUGCAACAGGAUUCAUACAUUACUACACAUCGUGAUUGAUCCAUAUCCUGGUCAACAACAUUGUGAUAUCACAGUUCCAACAUUUUUUCCCAGAACCCCACAAUGUUUCCAAUAAAACAGCUAGUAAGAAAAUCCGAAUCAGACUAAAAGAAGGUAUAGUUGAAAUGCUAAUUAAUGAUAAUAACACGUAAAUAUCUAUCUGACGUAAUGACUUUUAAUUUUACUCUAAGAGACUAACCAUGUGGAGAAUCUUAUUGAAAGAAACUUGUAAUGACUUUUAAUUUCAAUCUAAGAGACUAACCAUGUGGAGAAUCUUAUUGAAAGAAACUUGUAUCAUUAAUUUAUCAAAGCAAUAUUAUUUCUGAGGUUAAGACUAAGGGCCUAGGUAAGGGAACUUUUGUUGAGUACUAACAUAGUGAAUAUCACAAGCAAAACUAGUGCGAAAAAUAGUCACCAAUUCGAGAUAAAUUUUUUAAAUGAACCUACAAGAGUUACAGUGAAUGUGCUAUAAAAAGGUUAGAUUAGAAUUUGGUUUUUAAGAACUUCACAUAGGCUGUCUCGUACACUUGUGAUGUAGACUCAAGUUUUCAAACCCAAAGCGCACAAGUUUGCAUUAAUAGGCAAGGAAUUUAUAGUCCUACAUAUUGGAACUUGAAAUCAUGCACCAACUUUAUCUUCUUCUUCUCGACUGAAGCCCUUUACCUAGUGCAAGCCAGAGACAAAAUAAAGUAGUAGUACUGAACCAUUUGUGUUACUUAUAACCUUCUUCUUCUCCGUUGAAACCACUGCUCUAUACCUUUUAAGGAUAACAUUUUCCCAAUUAUUCCAUCAUUUCUCAAAGCUAACCAUGGUUAGGGACAUUAUGAGUCAGAGUAAUUAUCAAGGAAGUCAUUGAUACCCCAUCCUUCUUUCCCACUCGCGAUUACUACAUAUAUGAACCUUUUGUGGCUUUAAAAGGAAAUAUAGUAUUCAUCCAAAUAAUUUAAAUUUUUUCUGGAAAAUAAUGAUUACGUGAAUGCAAGUUGUUGCAAACAAUCUAAAACGUGGCUUUUUAUAACAACAGGAAAUAAACUAAUACUUGGUUUAGCACUGGGACUCAAAGAAACUCUAGUUCAGAACAAGAUUCCAAACAUAAAAUACUGAAGCAAAUGAUGCGGAAUACCUCCAUGAAACGGAUAUGAUACACGGGCCGCUUCUCAGGGUCUUUUGCCAAUGCAAGAAGCUUUUGAUGUAACAAGACAUCUUCCACUCUAUCCAAGUUAACAUCAAGUCCGUAACUGCGCAGAAAACAAAAUUAGUAAAAUAAAUAAAUAAUGUAGAAUUCAUAGAAUUAGGUUCAUCAUCCUCCACAUCUAAAGAAAAAUGAAACAUUCAUGCUAUGGCUCUUAUGAAGUUUUACAGUGGAAAAUAUCUUGGAAAAUAUAGUGAAUACUUUUCCCAGUAAGGUUUUAAACAAAGCUUCAACAUAACAUAAGGUCUGGAAAGGUUGGCCUUGAAAUAACAUUUCUUGACAGACCUAAGGAAAAUUUUGUGCCUCCUGGAAAGGUACUUCCAAAAAGAAUUGACUGCGAAGUGCGGAACUAAUUUCAGUCCAUACACACAUUGCAGAGUUUCAAUUGUAAACCUUUACACUAGUCACAUGGUCAAACCGACCAACUCUUACAGAAAUAAUAGGCAAGAAAACAACACUCAAACAGCACUGCCAGCUCAAAAAAUAAUCAGGUCCAUACAGAACAAAUAUUAGAUCACAUAACCAAUUUGAUAUUCAAACAUAUGCAUAAACUUAUUCGUGCUCAAACAUUAAAAACUUCACUGAUACUGCUCCGAAAGCAUAUUAACUCAAGAAAUCAAUCAUGUUGGGAUCAUCAUUUGAGACUCUAAGAGCUUCAUAAGGGUUCGUACUUCAAUAAUACGGUUCGUACCAUAAUACACCAAUCCCAAAACUACGGAGCACUGGUUAACCAAAUAUCUUCGAAGACCUACUGAAGGGUUCAUGUUGAGACACCCCUACCUAAGCACAUGAGUUUCUCUCCAACCAGGAGCCCAAUCACAAUGCUAAAGCUUCUAAAGUCCCACAUCAACCACAGACGAAAUAGGCAAUUCUCCUCAACUAUAAAAGGAGAUUGUUCUCCCACAAUUGAUCCCUGAUGAUCUUAUUUUGCUUAAUCCACUAUUAGAACUCACUAAGUAAUGAUUCUGUCUAAAUCCUUGUAUCAUGUAAACUCUCUCUACAUUAUUUAUGAGAACUCCUCCAUCCGACGUAGCCCAAUUUAAGGUGAACCAUGUAUGAUUGCUGCCCUUUUAUCCCUUAACUCUGUACAUACUCUCAUCACUAGGUGACCGAAGCAACUUAGCAAGGAUCGCAUAUUGACACUCUACGUUAUUCCAAAGUCAACCCAGUUUUGUGCAUCAACAAAUACAAUAAUGUUUUGUUCUGAAAAAACUAAUUCCAGAAAUAAAUCAAUGGCGGAAGUUCGUUAAAAUUAAAGAAUAAAAAGAAAUGAAAUGAAAAACAAUCUUAUAGAGGAAAGCGAUCGAAGGGGAAUACCUAGGCGGCAAGCGGUUGAAGUGACCGUCCAACUGUUCACGGAAUUCGGGCAGAGUCAGAGCGUCUUCAUGGCCGCUCUCCACCAAGCGGUUGUAGACAUCGUUUCGGACAUCGUAGUUACUGAAGCUGACGAAGCUUCUCGGCGGCGACGAGCUCUCUCCGACGCCCUCGGUCAAAUCCAUAGGGGAAGCUCAAGUCAGCAGGUUUUCCACGAAAAUACAGAAGAGAAGGAGGAGAAAGCGAGCUCGGAGAGUUGUCAAUGAUAAGCAGAGGAUCUUUGACUGUUGGUGGAAUCCGGGAAGAAGACGAGGAUCUGUUGGGGAUUUCGGGCGGAAAGCAGAGGGCAAUUUCGUCAUACAAAAUCACUGUAGCAUCGUGAAGUUUCUCGAGAGCGAAGGCUAGUUUGGAGGAGAGAAUGUCAUGGUUGGAGUGAGUGAGUAGAGAGACAAAAGAAGACCUCCGUCUCAGCAAGAGAAAACUUUUUCCAUUUUUUAAUUUUUUUUUUAUAUAUAUUAUAUAUCAAAUAAUGUGGAUUGGAUAUGGUUGAAAAUGUGGGACAAUAUAAUAAUGUUUUGUAGUUAAGAAAACGCCUCGGUUUUUGAUAGAUUUUUUUUCAAUGUGAUCGUAUAUACGAAACGGUAUGUUAUAUGUUGUUGUUAAAGUAAAAUAAAAUUUUAUUUUAAAUUUAUUCUCUUAACUUAUAUAAUAAUUUAUGAUAUAUGUAACCGCGUUUUGGAUAUAUUGAAAAACCACUCUUAAAUUUUGGGCACAAUUUCAUGUGAGUCACAUCAUGUUGUAUAGGAGAAAAUAUGGCCUGCUGUUUACAAGUAAUCACAUAAAAAAGCUCAUACCAUAAUUAUGACGCAAUUGUAUAUUUAUUCUUUCUCUAAUAAUGGAUUCUCAUUUUGUAGAGAGGGAAAUGUUAAGGAGACUCAUAGUUUUUUAGGAUUGUGUUAUUCACACAUCCUGUUUAUCUUUCACAUAUUCCUCUUAGUUUUUACAAUCGGACCGAAUUAAUUAAAAAAUAUUAAAAAACAGAAAUUAACAAAAAAUGUGUAGAAAGUAAAAAUAAGAUGUGGAUAACACCACCUUUUUCUUAUUGUGAGUAGCAUAUCUAAUCACUAGAAGCAUUAGAUAUAUCCUAUGGAAGUUGAAAGCAAGUGUUCUGUUUAUAAGUGCUUACAAAAUUAUUUUUUAUUUAUUUAAUACGAAAAAGAGAUUACAAAGUAGAAGUGCUUAAGAGAAUAACACACCAAAACGAUCAAAAAGCAUCUGGCACAUAUAAAGGUACCAUUAUUCCACAACUGAGAAACGUGGAACUUUAUGUCCUAGGGCGUCCGCUACAAAGUUGACCACGAAGAAAGGAAUGAGAGUCCGAAUGUCUUUGAGUAAAGUAACGAGCGUCCAUGGAAGUUGAAUAUAGUGUAGACAACAAUCAUGACAUCCCCUUCAACUUUGACAUCUCUCCACCUAUGAGUGAAGGAUAGAGACACACUUUGAUCCAGAUAUCCAGGUAGACACUAAAAUUGAGGCAUGUUGACUAACAUUUAGAAGAUCACGAAGUCAUAACAUGUAAAUAAUGUGUAGAUUGUAUAAAUAAAUUAAAGAUUAUAAAUGCAUGUAAUGAAAAGAAGAGUAUCUAAUUAUACACAGCCAAUAUUCAAAACAUAUAGGUAUGUACACGCAAUUUAAAAUUAAAAAAAAAAAAGAUUCUGGAUUGUACUUAAAAGUAACAUUCGCCUUAAAACAUUCAUAAAUUCAUGAAAAUAUGACUUGAGCUUCUCCUAUGGACAUGGAAGAUAUGUUUGGUGAUGCAUUAGAGUAUGAUCCGCAUACAUCUUUGCAUAUAAAUUGGCCAAGAUAGGAAGUCUUUGACGGAUUAUGCCGUUUACCGCAGUAGACUUCGAGUUUUAGAAGACCAUCACACUCUUUGUAAUGGUAUGGUCAAUCAGAUGGUCGAGUAAAGAGUCACUUAAUUAAUAUUGCUUGUUCUUAUGUUCCUUUAUUUUUAUUUUUAUUUUUGAAGUCGGGUAUGAUUUAAUUUACGUAAUUGUUUAAUUUUAUUUAUGUAAUUGUGUGUUUUUAUGUAAUAGUGUGCUUUUAUUUAUAUUCUCAGUAUAACAACAAGUAUAAGCACGAAGAUAAUUAUCAUUAAGAAUAUUGACAUUAAAUUACAUAAAAGCAUUGAGUAAAUAGCAAUCAUAAAAAUAUUAACAUUACAUGAGCAUAAAAGAAUUGAGUAAAUAUAAUCAUAAACGUCACUGUACGUGGCAACAUGCUGCUAGUUGAUGAUUCAGUGGUUAAGGACGGAUUACAAGGCUUUCUUCAAACUAAAAAUUGGAGGUAUCGGGUCCGAACCUUGCUACUGGUGUGGACGCUAGACUUGUGACCAGGAGGAGGCUAAAAUGUCUCUGUAAGUCUUCCCGGCCCUUGAAAGAGAUGGAUAACCGUAGCUUACCAAUUGUUAUCCGCUCUAUAACCAACGGGGAGCUCUCCGUAGCUCGUUUGACUUCAGCAGUGAAUGAAUCAAAUAUCCACGUCGAUCUGCUUGAGGUAGCUAGAUCACCCUAAUCUAUGGAAGUUUAUUAUUUCCAAAUCUAUCUACGAUUAACCCCCAAUAUUUUCAAACAUAAUAAUACUUAACGAAGUGGAAUAAAAAUAAAUAAAAUAAACUUUGAAUUUUGCUACAGAUACUCGAGGUGUACAUAUACAAUAUGUGGACAUAUAUAUACCUUGACGAGAAGCUUGAGGCAAAUAUCAUCAGACUGGGCUGCAGAGCCCUUGGUCGUUUUGUUCUUAUUUCUGGCAAAAAGAUCAACCUCCUAUACAUCAGUACAUACAAUAUUAUUAAGUAAUAUACAUGCAAUACAAAAACGAGAUAGAGAGGGCGCUUGGAGCGCAAUUGCUUGGUUGCUGCUAAUGCCGAUGAAGCAAAGGUUUUUAGAAGCUUUAUAGAAUAAUGGAUAUAAUGGAACUUGAUGACAUAUGUGAGAAUAUGAUGAACGUUAUAUUUUUGAAGCUCUUUUUAUUAUGCCGACAAAUAUAUUAAUUUAUAUUUCUGAAAUGGUUUAUAGUGUGAAUAUUGUAGAGUAAAAUUUUGGUGCAUCUGAAAAACCAUCACGUGUUAUUAUUUCAUUCAAAACUAUAACACAUGUAUUUUCUUUUUUUAUUUAAUAUUCCUAAAAGACUAACAUUUCAACUAUGUACCAAAGCUACGGAAGUUUGUAGUUUCGAAUAUAUUGGUAGCUAAAUCACCCAACUCUACAACUUCAUUGCUUCGACUUUCUUUUGGCUAACAAAACGCCAAGCCAAACGACUUUGGAUAAAUCUUUAUCCACCUGCUAACCAAUCAUUUAUGCCCAGCUCUACCAUAAGAAGGAGAGGUUGUUCCGAAAGAGAUUUGCAAAAGGUUUUGUUCCAAUAAGGAUACUACUGUUCAACUCUCCACGAAGUUACACACAAAAAAUAAUAAUAAUAAUAAUAAUAAUAUGCACUUGUGAGAAGUGCCAACACUGUGCCACGAUCCCACACAUUCAUGUUAAACCUCUUAGAAGAGCAUAGGACCAGGUUGACGUAAGGAACGUCGCUAAUCAAGACGUCUCAAAUUACUACGGUUCUAGAGUCAACGUCUGCUCUUUAAAACUAUGAGACUAGGUGUUGAAGAAGAAAAUAUCAAAUAAACAAGACUCAAUUGUGAGUACACUUGACAUGAAUUGGGACAGACCAUACGAGAUCAUUGACAUAUAUCGCCCAGGCACAUACAUACUUAAAGAUGGCAGAACACAUGAUCAUCCAUGUAAUGUUGAUCAUCUAAAGUAUUACUACAAGUAGACAGUUCAACAUACUUAGUGAAGAGUCAAUUCAGACAAACUUUGUCUCAACCUGACACCUUAAACAAUCGUACUUAGCCAAACUUUAAAACAAACCAACAUUAUAACUUAAAAGCUCAUCCAUACAUACCUCAAUGAAGUUUAAAACCACCUUCAAAAAGGAACAUGAUUCAUAAGAGCAUCAACAUAAACUUUAAACAUGAUAAAAAUUCCACGAAGACAAAUCCACAAGGUAUCCAAGUCAAUGAUCAAUCAUAUUUAAAGCCAACAUUAGUACAUAAUUUUUUUAUUUUUAAAGUCAACAAGAGAAUACAACCUAAGUUUAGGACGCAACAAUCAACAUUCUCAUAAUAAAACUAAGAGACCACAAAUUCAUUCUCAAAGCAAAGUCAAGAUGCAAUAAUCAUCUUACAAAACCAUUUUGUUUUUUUUUUUCAAUAUAUUGAAUGAUGAGGUGUAACAACCCGUCCCAAAUUUUACAAUUUUAUAAAUUUUAAAAGUGUGAAUUGAUGAAAAUGCCCUAGAGGCAAGGAUUUUGACUUCCGUUGACCAUCAAUUUGAGAGAUGUAUGACUUAUUCUUUUAGCGUAAUUGUGUAGUACUCGUUAGUACGAACGCAUAGGUGAAGACCGUUUGCGAGUCUGAAUUAUAAUGGUAUAGAUAGGGACAUUUGAAAUUGUGUUACUAAACUAUAGAUUUAAAUUUAAUUAAGCUUCCCUCAAAUGUAUGUUAAUUAUGGGACCAAUUAGAUAAAUAUUUGAGGGACCAAUCAGCAUGGGUAACGAAAAGGGGAUCAGCCAAUCAGAAAAAAAAAAAAAAAAAAAAAAAAAGAGGGAGGGGGGUGGACUCCCAACUUUCCCGUGCACCCUUGAACCAUCCCGAUUUCAAAUCGGCGAACUUUCGCCAGUUUUUUGUUGAUCACCACCAUCCAUCACCUGCAACAUCUUUCACAUCUUCCCCUCUACUAUUUCCACUCAAAUUUGGGAUUUUUUUUAAGGUCAAAACCUUGUAAAACUGUGAGGGGUGGCCGAAAGUGUUCCACGGCGAUUCUGCCGUUCCGGCGAGUUUCACCACUCAUCACCACCUCUAAUCUACUCCCCUUGGACCCAGGAACAAAGCCCAAACAACCUUGGAGGCGUCGGAGCACCGGUGACGACGAAUUAAAGCACACCCAUUCUAGGGUUCUGGUGGGUUCGUGGAAAAUUGAGGCUCUUCCAGGUCAAAUUGGCCUUGGUCAUAGGUAUGAAAGUUGCUCCACUCAUUGAGAUCUUCAUUUCUGUGAAGUUUGAGAAUUUUUAGAAAUAGUUGGAUUUUCCGACGAGUUGGGGUGGCCGACCACCACCCACUGCGGCGCGUGCGGCGGCACGUGGCCACUUUUAGGCUAAAUUAGAUGUCUUGAAUUCAGUUUUGAUAUUCGUAUAAUGUAGGUUGAUCGUUUGAAUCUAAAUUCAUUACGAUACGUUAUUUGGUAAAAAUGUGAAUCGACGAUCCAACCGUUGGAUCGUCACUAAACUUUAAUACAUUCUAGUACAUAAUAUUUAAGGACCAUAGAAACUUACGGAUUAGGAAUCUGAUGAACAAAUCUUCCUGAAUUGGAUUUGUAAGUUUAUAAAAUAAAUGUUAACCGUCAUUUAGUUUUGGCAAUUGACGGAAGUCCGACCGUUAGAUCGUAAUGAAAUUUUAGUAUGUUAUUCUAGAAGCAUAAUUUGGAUCUUUAGAAGUUUCGGAUUGGAAAUCUGAUAUGCGGAUCUUCCGAAGUGAGUUUACAGGGUUGUAGACCCAACCGUCGAUCUUUGAUCGACGGUUGACUUAUGGUCAAUGGGUCUCAAACUAUUUUAGAAUGUCCUUGAGAAUGUGUUUUAUGUGAAUUACAUAUUCUAUUGAUAAGAGUUAUGAGAUGUGAUUAUGUAAUUGUUCUAGGCGCCAAUUAUUCGAGACGCCUCAAUGCAAGUGCUAGAGAAUCAUAGUGUGGACUCUAGGUGAGUGGGUCUUUUCCUUUUAUCAUAGGUAUAUAAUUGAUAGUUCCUCAAAUGCUUCUAAAGUGAAUUAUGCAUGUUACCUACAAUUAAUUAUUGUGAACUACGAAUGGCUUAAUCCCUAUUUAGGGUACAUAGGCAGUCUAACGAUACGUUAGAUGCAGCCAUACAAUAAAUGAGACUAACUAACUGAGACAAUAGUCUUGUUUAGGGAAUUGAGUAAUGUGAGGGACAUUGGUGGAAAAUAUAAGAUUUAACUUUAUGAUUUGGUGUUUAAAUAUUGGUCAUAAAUCAAUGAAUGAAGAAUCAGGAAUUUGAAGUAAGGAAACGUAAGUAAUGAUGGUUAAUUAAACUAGUAUCUAGUAGGGCUUACCAUUGAUAAUUAUCUCCGAAAAUAAGUAGUUCGGGAGUAGGGCGUUAUAGAUUAUGCAUUUCACACCAUGUUAUAUAUAUACUUGAAAAUACUAUGUUAUAGUUGAGUUUUAAAUUGCAUCAUGACAUAUUUAUAUGUGUAUCACCUAAACCUAAUUAUUGUGAAUGCUUCGAAGUGCCAAAUGAUGUUGCGGACGCCCAGGUAAGCUUCAGGUGAGUACACGUUGAUGAUAGUGAUGGUAGUGAGAUAUGUGAUGAGAUAUUAAUUGGCUAGCAUGUUGAUGAGAUAUUGAUUUAGCCGUACAGUUCACGUGAGGUGACUCUGGCUAGUAUAUUGAUGAGAUAUGUGAUGAGAUAUGGAUGAUGAGAUAUUGAUUUAGCUGUACAGGUCACAUAAGGUGACUCCAGCUAGUAUAUUGAUGAGACAUGUGAUGAGAUAUGGAUGAUGAGAUAUUAAUUGGCUAGCAUGUUGAUGAGAUAUUGAUUCAGUCGUACAGGUCACGCUAGGUGACUCCGGCUAGUAUAUUGAUGAGAUAUAUUAAGAGAUAUAAAUAAAGUUGUACAUGUCACUAUAAGUGACUCUGACUUAUAUGCUAGCAAUGAUUAAUAAGAUAUAUGAGGAGAUAUAAAUAAAGCUGUAUAGGUCACUAUAAGUGACUUCGGCUUAUAUGCUAGGAACGAUUAAUGAGAUAUGUGAGGAGAUACGGAUAAGUUGUACAGGUCACUAGAGGUGACUCCGACUUAUAAGCUAGCAUAUGUGACGAAUAUGUGAUAAGCUAGCAUAUGUGAUAAAUAUGCGAUGAGCUAGCAUAUGUGAUGAAUAUGUGAUAAGCUAGCAUAUAUGACGAAUAUGUGAUAAGCUAGCAUAUGUGAUAAAUAUGUGAUAAGCUAGCAUAUAUGAUGAAUAUGUGAUAAGCUAGCAUAUGUGAUGAAUAUGCGAUGAGCUAGCAUAUGUGAUAAGCUAGCAUAUGUGAUGAAUAUGUAAUAAGCUAGCAUAUGUGAUGAAUAUAUGAUAAGCUAGCAUAUGUGAUGAAUAUGUGAUAAGCUAGCAUAGGUGAUGAAUAUGUAAUAAGCUAGCAUAUGUGAUGAAUAUGCGAUAAGCUAGCAUAUGUGAUGAAUAUGCGAUGAGCUAGCAUAUGUGAUGAAUAUGCGAUGAACUAGUAUAUGUGAUGAGAUACAGGUAAGUCGUACAGGUCACCAUAGGUGACUUCAACUUGGGUACUAGCAUGAGUUAUUAAUCACAUGAUUAUUUGAUAUUGCUAACGAGAUGCUGUCUUGUGGUAUAUUUAUGAUAUUUUCUGAAAAUUAUACAGGUGUUGUAGCGAGGGGUUAUAAUGUUUUAAAUGGUUUCUAUUAAAAUUUAUUCACAGGGCUACUCACCUUUGUCUUGUCUUCACCCUCCAGGUUUUAUUAGCUGAGUUUUCUUAUCGUUGAAGAUUCGUGGCGGUUCUUGGUAUUGAAGAUUAUUUCGAGGGUACAAUUCUUAAUUCACUCUUAUGUACUUGCUUAUGCUCUAACAUUACGUGUGAAGUAGAUUCAUUCCCGCUCACCGGUGUACUCUGGUAUUUAGGCACUCUUAGGUUUUAAAUUAUUCACAUUUUUCCACAUCAUCACACUUUAUGGAUUCGUCACCUUCCAGGUGUCGGCCAGCACAGUUCGAUUCGGAGUCCUAGUAAACAUUCCGGGUCGGGGUAUGUUAUGAGGAGUGGCUAGGUUAAAGUUGUGGGGCAAUAUGUUAUGAAAGAAGCAGAAGCGAGAAUGUCAACUUGAGUAACAUAAACAUUGGUGAUGGGUUCUCCAUUAAUUUUCAUUUCUUCUAUGCAACGCGGGAUAGGUCAACAUGGUAGCUUGAUAUAGAAGAAUAUAUUUUGUGUUUUAGAAACAAAUUUUUUGUGAGUCACGUCGUAUUUUAUACAAAAAAAUGUGGGCCAUGAACUGCUAUUUACACAUAAUCACAAAAAUAAAUAAAUAAAUUCAUGCCAUGAUUAUGAUGUAGCUCCACAACUAUAAGCUUAUCUGGGAUGCAUUCUGAUAAGCUGACGAACUAGUGUACACAAUUGUAUUUUCAUUUGUUCGAAUAACUGGAGUUGAAUUUUGUUUAGUAUUAUCAUGUUUAUUUUUAUUUUUAUUUUUUACCUUAAGUAGCAUAUCCGGUUACUAGAAGCAUUACACAUAUCUUAUCUAUUUUCAUGUAAUGAGAGUGUGAGGCAAGUGUUUUGUUUAAGAAAAUGUUGAUAAGACAACUUUAUUUGGUACGGGAAAGAGAUUACAAACGAAAACACCUAGGGCGUAAUAAAGGGUAGAACUUGCAUAGGAAAAUUCUAUUCGAACCAAAAAGUUAUCAAAUAUUCUAUCCAAUUUAAAUAUGAAUCCAUGAAGUUUCGAAAUCCGAAAAAUUAAAAAAUACUGGAUAAGAACAGGAAUACAAUUUGCAAUUUGUAUAACAAUCUGUCCUUAAUUUUAAGAUUUUAUUAAUUUUAAAUGUGUGAAUUAAUCAAAAUGUUCUUAAAGGUUAGAUUGUUGACUUUCGUUGAUCGUUAUCUUAUAAUACAUACAAGCUACUAUUUUACUGUAUUUGCAUAUUACUCAUUACUACGAAUGUACAUGAUAAAGAUUUUACGAAAUUACGAAAUCAGGAGGUAUUUUAGCAGAUUCACUAUUCUGGAUAAUUUUUUCCUUAUUAUUUUAUAUUUUUCUGGUGGAAUUUUGUGUCUUGUGGAACCCAUACCCCACUUCUUCCUUGUCCCCGUGUCCCAUUUUCGCCAUACUUCUUGGUCUCUCUCAUUUCAAUCUCUCUCUUUGCCUUGUCACUCCAUCUCUUCUUCUGCCACCUUACCACCACCUACUCUCUCUCUCUAAAAAUCUCUCAUCUCUCACUCUCCAUUUAUUUGUCUCUCGGCAAACACCGAAUGGGUGCAAUGGCAACGCCAUCAUCGCCGCUAACCUUGUUACCCUGACGAGAUUUACGAGUUUUCCAGCCCAGAAACUAGGAUCUCAUACUGCCAACUCAACCCAGACAUGAACUUGCGCUGCUAGUGGUCGCUGCACUGUUCACUGUGUUCUCUGGCGAGGUUCUCAAUUUUUUUCGACUAAGGUGUGAUAAUACACCACUAAUAAUACCUUCGAAGAACUCACAGAAAGAUACAGAGAUCAAAGAGAAAGAAGAAGAGAAAGAAUAGAGAAAGAAACUGUAUUGAUUUGUGUAUAUUCCUUACUGAAUUACAAUAUCUGUUAUUCAGUUAUUUAUACAUGGAAUCCAAACUUAGCUAGUAAGCUAUUCACGUAACUAACUAACUAACAUAAGCUGAAUUGGCUGUCUAUCUGACCCUUGAAUGUUGUAAUGAGUUGGCAGUUCAUCUAGCCAUUGAUUUAUGAUACUCAACAUUCCCCCUCAAUCGUGGCUGGGGUACUCAGCCUAAGAUUGUAACAAUGUCGAAGAAAGGCAAGGCUGUGAAGACCUUUUGUAAGAACAUCCGCAGUUUGAUCUUCAGUUGGAAUGUAAACCACCUUCAGAUCUCCUUGUUGAACACGUUCUCUCACAAAAUGAAAGUCAGUAUCAAGAUGUUUGAUACGAGAAUGAAAAACAGGAUUUGCAGUAAGGGCAAUGGCUGACAUAUUAUCACAAUGAAUUAUGGGAGGUGAAGGCAUACACACUUCUAAAUCCUUUAGGAUUCCCCUUAUCCAAGCAACAUCAGCUGCGGUAUGGGCAAGAGCCUUAUAUUCAGCCUCAGUUGAGCUUCUUGAUACUGAACAUUGUUUCUUUGAUUGCCAAGACACGGGAUUGUUGCCUAGAUACACUACAUAUCCUGUGAUUGACCUUCGAGUAUUGAGAUCAGCUGCCCAAUCAGCAUCUGAAAAAGCAGUGAUUGUCCUUGUCGUCAUUUGAUUAGCUGAAUAUAAUAUCCCAUGGUGCAGUGUACCAUGAAGAUAUCUGAGUAUUCGUUUCACUGCUGCAUAAUGCCUUUAUGUCGGAGAACUCAUGAACUGACAUACUGUAUUAACCGCAUAUGCAAUAUCGGGCCUAGUCAAGGUCAGAUACUGCAACGAUCCGACGAUACUCCUAUAAAGCGAUGGAUCAGACAUUAAAGAACCAUCAGAAAAUAGCAUUUGAUCAUGAGGUUUGCAUGGAGUAGCAGCAGGUUUACAUGUGUCCAUACCUGCCUUAUGGAUCACAUCCUUUAUAUAUUUUGAUUGAUGCACAAAGAUAUCCCUAUUAUUCUUAUACGAGAACUGCAAUCCCAGAAAAAAUGUCAAUUGUCCCAUAUCCUUAAGAUCAAAGACUUCAGAUAACUCAUCAAUCAUCUUUUGAAUCUUGAUAGAAUUGGAACCGGUCAAUAUAAUAUCGUCAACAUAAAGGAGAAGAAUAACAAUAUCCCCAUCAUCCUGCUUGAUAAACAAACUUGUAUCAGAAACUGAAGCCUGAAAAUUCAUGGCAGUCAAGUAAGAUGUGAACUUUGAAUUCCACACCCUUGGAGCUUGUUUCAAACCAUAUAGGGAUUUGAUUAAUUUGCACACAUGAGUGGGAUGGGAUGCAUCGACAAACCCUUGUGGUUGUUUCAUGUAAAUCUCUUCUUGCAAGUCACCGUGCAAGAACGCAUUUUUAAUGUCAAGCUGUCGAAGUUUCCAAUGGUUACUUGCUGCUAAGGCCAAUACAAUCCUCACCGUAGUAUGCCUCACUACCGGACUAAAGGUAUCCAAGUAAUCAAUACCUUGUUCCUGAGAAAAUCCUUGAGCCACAAGCCGUGCUUUAUACCUGGAAACACUGCCAUCAGGAUUUUUCUUCACUUUAUACACCCAUUUGCUGCCAACAAUAGAUCUGUCACUUGGAGGUGGUACUAGAAUCCAAGUGCCUUGACUUCGAAGGGAAUCAUAUUCUUCUUGCAUCGCUUGCUGCCAUUGGGGUAGUGAAGCAGCUUUUCUAAAUGUAUUUGGUUCAGAGGUAUCAGUGAUGGCAGAAAUAAAACUAUAGCCUCCACUAAAACAAUCGUCUUCAGUGAGCUGCAAAGAUUGCAACUCAGGAAAUGAUGUUAUAAAUGCAGUAUAAUCUCGUCUUUGAAUGACACCACUUUUCAACCUUGUUACCAUCUGGUGAACAGACUCAGAAGGAUUUAUAUUAUCAGAAGGAUCUGUGGUAAUGAAAGAUUCAUUUUGCGAUGAAAAUGGCAAGAUUACCUGAAGUUGGGAAUCUGAAUGGACAGGCAACACUGAUGAUGUACCAGAGUGAUGAUGAGGGGAAUAAGACUCUUGAUCUCGCUGUGAAACCAAAACUGACUCCCUAGAAUCUCUUGAUUGUGACUCAAUUACAGUAUUCAUAACUGGUGUAGCCGAUGACACUGAAUUGCCUUCUUCUGGAAUACCAUGAUCAUCAUGCUGUACAUUGGGAGUAUUUGAAGCUAGAUGAGGCAUUCGAAUAGCUAUAUACUGUUGAUGAGACUUUAGAGAAAUUCCUGAAUUGACACCUUUGGUACAAGAAUCUAGUUGAAAAGGAUAAACAUCCUCAUCAUGUAUAACAUGCCUUGAAAUAAUGAACUUCCUACUAUGAAUAUCAUAACAUAGCACUCCUUUGUAUCCCAUUGCAAAUCCAAGAAAAACACAUUGACUUGAUCUAGCUUGUAGCUUAUUUCGAUUAUAAGGUCUAAGAUAUGGAUAUAUUGCUGUCCCAAACACUUUAAGAUUGUGGAUUGCAGCAUUGUCACCAAACAAAAUCUGAUAAGGUGACUUAUGAUCCAAACCUUUGCAUGACAUCCUAUUUAUCAAAAACGCAGCAUAUGAACAAGCAUGAUACCAAAACACAAUAGGAAUUGAAGCUUCUGUCAUCAAACUUAAAGCAGUUUCAACUAAAUGCCUAUGCUUCCUUUCUGCAAUGCCAUUCUGUUGAGGUGUAUAAGGACACGAAAUCUGAUGCAGAAUACCUUUUUGAUCCAGAAAACCUUUCAUCAUACUAUUGGCAUACUCACCACCACCAUCAGUUUGAAAACAUUUAAUUGAACUGUUAAACUGUGCCUGAACAAAAGCAUAAAACUUGGCAAAAAUCGGAAACACAUCUGAUUUAUUUAUCAUUGGAAAAAUCCAUACAAAUCUUGAGAAGUCAUCUACAAAGCUGACAUAAUACCUAUACCCUUCUAUAGAUCUCUGUGGAGAUGGUCCCCAAACAUCUGAAUGUAUCUUUUCAAAUUUAUGUGUUGCUCUAGCUUGUUUUACAGAAAAAGGUAAUCUACACAUUUUCCCUGAAAUACAAGCUGUACAAAUAGUAGAAGAGAAAUCUUUAUGAACUGAUAUACUCGCAUUUUUCAACAUUGUAGACAGUACUUCUUCAUUUGGAUGUCCCAAUCUCUUAUGCCAUAUUGAACUUGUCACUUUCUUUCCAAGAAAUGCUCCACAGUGCUCCAACUUUGCAGCAAAUGAACCCUUAAAGACAGAUACUGGUAUCUUGAACAAUUCCCCAUCAUCACUCUUUCCUUGGUACAAAAUCACUCGGGUUGCCUUGUCCUGUAUAAAGAACACCAAAAUCAUCACAAAUAAACCAACAUCCAUUAUCUCUACAUAAUUUCUUAACUGACAACAGAUUCAUGGCAAUAAGUGGAACAUGUAAUACAUUAUUUAGCACAAAGGUAUGAGUAUCAGUAACAAGUUCAGAAGCACCAAUAUUCUUAACAUUCAAACCUUCUCCAUUUCCUAUGGUGAUUUUAGAGUCACCAUUGUAAGGAGUGGCCUGAUUAAGAUGUUCAAGAUGAGCUGUCAUAUGAUGAGUGGCUCCUGUGUCAACCACCCAAGUAUCGGCAUUAGAAAAACCAUGGACAUUCUGACUUGCUUGUGGCACAUUUGAUGUUUGAGCAGCCAUUCCCACAGGUGUGAGAUUCAAUGAUUGUGGUGGAGGAGGUCCUUGAUAAGAGUAAUUAUUCCUGUGAUAGCACUGUAUAGCUGUAUGACCCUUCUUACCACAUAUCUGACAGAAAAUGGGACCUUUAAAAUUUCCUUGAGCACUAUCUGUCCUGUAAUAGCAAUUCGGUGCAGUAUGGCCUCUUCUUGAACAAAUUUGACAUUCUGGAGAUAUGCCAUAUUUGUAGUUUGUAUUGCCAUGCCAACUGCUUCCUUGGUUAAAUCCACUUCCACUUGAAAAGUUACUGGAACUACCAUAAGAACCCUUUUGAUUGUUAACAGAACCAUUGAAACCACCACCUGAACCAUAAGAAUCACUAAACCCAUAAGACCUAUUCCCAAAGUUGGAAUAAGAUCUUGAAUUAUUGGUAUUACCAUUGUUUCUCCUAUUACUGUUAUUGUUGAAAUUCGACCUCUGUUGGAAAGAUAUUCCACCAUUUGCAGCAAAACCUGAACCCCCAUUAAAAUUGCCUGGACCAUUAAGCUUCUAUGCAUUCGAGCUUUCACCUUGUUCAAAAUUCUGAUAUCUUCCUUGACCUCCUUGUCCAUUUGGCAAAUCACCAUUAACAUACAUUGCCGACAUGGUUCCAGCAAGAUUAUUCAUUCUUGUUUCAAAAGAACCCUCAACACCAAUUAACUGAGCCCUGAAGUCCUUUAGAGAUAUAAGUGUAUCCCUAGCAAGAAUUAUAGUCUUGAUAACUUCAAACUCUGGUGGCAGUCCAGAAAGUACAGCAAUCAUCAAAUCAUUAUCAGUUAUCUUCUCCCCUGCAGCCACAAGCUGAUCUUUAAUAGCCUUCAGCCGAAACAAGAAUUUAUCAACUGAAUCAGAACCCUUUUGUGCAGUGUGAAACUCAGUUUUCAACUGAUUGACCCUCACAACAAAAAUCGAGGCAAACCGUUCAUGUAACUUCUCCCAAGCCUCCUGUGCAGUCUUGCACCCUAUCACAUGAUACAUCACUUCAUCACUUAAUGUAGCAAUGAGUAAACUCAGUAAUGCCAAAUCUUGCUGAAUCCACUGUUUGUAAGCCUGAGAUAUCUCCUUUGUAACACCACCUUCAGCCGUAAUACAAUACUUCGGAGGACAUUGUGAUUCCCCAUUGAAAAAAUCAAACAAAUCAUAUCCACGAAGAACAGACGAAAACUGAUAACUCCAUUUCACAAAAUUAUCCUCAUGCAAUUUUACAGUAAUCAUACCAAGUAGACCUUCAAUCUUUACUGAAUUUAUAGCCAUUUUGCAAACACCAAGAAGAAAUACAAAUGCAGUACCCGAAAUUCUUGAUUAACAGACAACCAAUCUUGAAUCUUGACACACAACUCUCACUUCUGACUUCGGCCUUCUAUGAAGUAAGAAACUCAACAGACAAAAAAACUCCGCAUUCUUUCAAUUUUUAAUUCUUCAGCAAUCAACAAUCUUUCAAUUAAACUUCUUCUUUCAUACUUCUAAUCUUUUAAGUUUGCAGCAAUCAACAAUAUUUCAAUCAAACUCCUUCGUAAACAAUAUGCACCCAACAAUAUUUCGCAUCCACACCAAGCAAUUCAUAUAUUUUCACUGAAACAUUAUAUCAAACAGUUCAUCUAGCCAUUGAUUUAACAAAAUUAUCCUCAUGCAAUUUUACAGUAAUCAUACCAAGCAGACCUUCAAUCUUUACUGAAUUUAUAGCCAUUUUGCAAACACCAAGAAGAAAUACAAAUGCAGUACCCGAAAUUCUUGAUUAACAGACAACCAAUCUUGAAUCUUGACACACAACUCUCACUUCUGACUUCGGCCUUCUAUGAAGUAAGAAACUCAACAGACAAAAAACUCCGCAUUCUUUCAAUUUUUAAUUCUUCAGCAAUCAACAAUCUUUCAAUUAAACUUCUUCUUUCAUACUUCUAAUCUUUUAAGUUUGCAGCAAUCAACAAUAUUUCAAUCAAACUCCUUCGUAAACAAUAUGCACCCAACAAUAUUUCGCAUCCACACCAAGCAAUUCAUAUAUUUUCACUGAAACAUUCUAUCAAACAGUUCAUCUACAAGCUUCAAAACACAAAGAAAGACAAGGAUCGAGAAUACCCGAAAGCCGAACUCCUGAAACAGAAUGAAAAUUCCAAGAGAAAUCCAGAACUUCUUCACAAUUACACCUCCUGAUGCUCAAAUCUCAGCGGAAGAACCCAAAAAAAAAAAAACACCAACCAUGGCUCUUGAUACCAUGAUAAUACACCACUAAUAAUACCUUCGAAGAACUCACAGAAAGAUACAGAGAUCAAAGAGAAAGAAGAAGAGAAAGAAUAGAGAAAGAAACUGUAUUGAUUUGUGUAUAUUCCUUACUGAAUUACAAUAUCUGUUAUUCAGUUAUUUAUACAUGGAAUCCAAACUUAGCUAGUAAGCUAUUCACGUAACUAACUAACUAACAUAAGCUGAGUUGGCUGUCUAUCUGACCCUUGAAUGUUGUAAUGAGUUGGCAGUUCAUCUAGCCAUUGAUUUAUGAUACUCAACAAGGUGAAGAUAGGAACUCUCUAAUCUGUUCUUUAUGGUUAUAUUAGUUUGAUUUAUGGAUUAUUUAUGCGAUUUGAUGACGUCUAGUGCAGUUUCAACCGGGGAAGAUUUCCCAAAAAAUUGGUGAGGAAAACCGUGGCCAUCAAGCCACUUGUAGACGUUUUUUCCUGCUAUCUCCGGCCUCUGUCAAUCCUCGAUUUUGGUAUAGACCUGUUCCUUGAUUCCUACCUUCACUUUGGCUUUUAAACCAUUAAAUUCAGUUGAGAAUUGAGCUCGAAAUGAGCUCUGAAAGUCUGAGAAAAAACCUGCAAAACUGCAGGAACUCGUGAGGAAGACGAGUACAAGCGUACUCGGGGGCACAUGGAUGCAUGAGGGUGGUCGGCGCAUGCAGCGCGUGGCUGCUGUGCAUCCACGUUGUGACGACACGUGGCUGUCUAUGCAGCCACCUUGUGACGGCGCGUGGAGGAAUCCGAGAUCCCGCCUUAGGUUUCUCAACGUGCAGAAUCCGAAUCCGUCUUUUGUUUUCCAAAUUUGAUCGUUUUAAAAUAAUUUCUUUAUUAGCCAUACUUUGUAUGAAUACGCGAAUUUACAUUAGUUUGUUAUAUAUUUACAUGAAUGGUUUUGUUUCUAGGUGAAACGCGUCACAAGGAUCUUCAAUGCCCGCGAGGCAGGUUCGAGCCGACGACAUGAUUUGUGAGUGGGUCUUUGUUUUGGAAUAUUAUAUAUUUAUUUAGUUUCCACAUAAAUAUUUGAUAAAUAAUUUUUUACGUUACGCCUAUAUUAGAUUAAUAUUUAUAAGAAUUAGCAUAUUGACGGAAUUUGCUAAAUCCUACGGGAUGCACAUGUAUGCAUACUAUUAUGAGAUUUUAUUUAUGGCCAUGUUUAAUAGUUUAUUGAAUAGUAUUAUGUCGACUAGAAUUAUCGAUUUGCCGUUGUAUAAUCAUAUUUACAUUAUAUGCUCAUUGUGUGCUACACUGGUGUUAGUACUCACCCGGGCUAGGGUCAGUCUUCACGUGUAUGUUCACAUCGUACCGUACGCUCACUUUGGAUCCAUUGUAGGUGACAAUCCUGUCCUAGAUUGCUAUAGGCAAUUAGGACUCGUGUGUUAUGAGGAUAGCGCCAGUCUUCAUGUGAUUAUAGUACUAAAGCGUAAAUCAUUAUUACACCCAAUCAUAUUUAUGUCAAAAUACCUCUACAUAAACUUGUGUGUUAGCAUAUGUCAAUAAGCACUCGAUGUGAUGUGUUUAUUUACCAAAUAUUGUGAAGUAGUGCAUUCUAGGGAUAUUAUGGUUUACGGUCAGUAUUUUCAUACUAUACGUAGUAUGUUAUAUUUGGAAACUAUAUUUGUUUUACGGUGAGGGGUUAUUACAUUUUCGAAAAGGUUUUACAAAGCUUUAUUUUGAUGCUCACUCACCCUUGUUUUUCACCCAUUUAGGUUUUAGUAGCUAAGCUUUUGUGCCAAUGAGGAUUAUUGACAAAUCUUGGUAUCGGUGAUUACCUUCGAUGAUAUAAUUCUCAUUCUACCUUUACUAUAUUUUACUUAUACUCUGACAUCACGUGUGAAAUAAGUUCAUUCCUGCUCACAUGCGCACUCUUGCAUUUAGGCACUUUUAAGCUUAAAUUCAUUCACAUUUUCCAUCUCAUCACACUUUAUAGUUUCAUCACCUUUCAGAUGUUGACCAGCAUAGCUCGAUUUGGAGUCCAGAUGGACAUUUCGGGUCAGGGUGUGUCAAUUUGAAUAUUCAAAAAUAUUGAAAAAUAAGGAAUGUAUUUGAAUAUUUUGAUUCAAUUUGAAACUUGCCUAAAUCUAUUACAUACACUUGCUUAUAUACUUGGUUUUAUUUUAGGAAAAUUUUAUUUGAACUCAUACAACCUCUAACUACAUCCAACUUACUCUCUACACCCAUAUUAAUUUUAAUUCAAGAAUCAAUAUAUUUUUAAAUCCAAAUUUACUAACUAAAAUACCCUCACGAACUCAAUUUAAUAUGUAAAUUUGACUUUACACCUAUUUGAAAAAUAAAACCCUAAAAUUAAACAUUUGUUGUGUAGGUCAUUAAAGUUAGAAUGUUAUAUUGUAAUUCCUCGAGACAAACCAAAUAUUGAGCCUUAUACAUUUGGAAAGAUCUAGAUGUCUAGUUUACGAAGAAUUUUACGGUUCGUGAUUCCGAUUUUUCUAGGAGAUGUUAUUAUUAUUUUAGUGCAGACAUCACAAAAUCAAAGAUUUGUUGCGCAGAUCAGUGAAGUUUGAAUAAUUAAAUUGUAAUUCCUCGAGAUGAACCAAAUAUUGAGCCUUAUAUGCUUGGAAAGAUCUGGAUGUCUAGUUUAUAGAUAAUUUUACAGUCUGCGAUUCCAAUUUUUCUAGGAGACGUUAUUUUAGUGCAGACAACACAAAAUGAUUAUUUCCUACGAAUUUUGUUGAGAUUUUAGAAAUUUAGUUGCAUCUAAAUCAGAAGGCCAACGAGUGUUGUUUCCUUGAUCAUGGAGUAAGAUUAUCUUCCCUCUUUUUUUCCCUCUCCUUCCCUCCCCUCUUAUUUAAACAAUCACAGUUAAGUCACGUCAACAUAAGAAUGAGAGGGGAGAGAAUCCAAAUUACUUGAUCAUUGGGGAGAGAAUGUUUGAAAGUUACUUGGGCCUCAUUACCCAUCUCAUAAUUAUACGAAGGAGAGGGGAGAGAAUCCUAGCAGCUCGAGGUGACCACAAUAUUAUUUAAUAUUUUAUUAUACCUUUAAUCAUUAUUUAAAGUGGUAGGAUUACAUAAGCUACACUAAAUUGCAUAUCAUUGUCGCUCCCCGCAAUGUAAAACCAUUAUCACUAAACUUAAAAAUCAAAUCAAAUUGGAAUCUUAAACAACAAUGUUGAAUUUUGUUAUCAUUUUUCUCCAUUUAAAACUAAAGUUUCGAAUUUUACGCAAAGCCUCCAUCAACCAACCAUUCUAAAGUAUUAGCAUUCAAUCCCUCUGUCUAACAAAAAAAAAGGCCACGGUAAAACUUAAGAUAAGAGCACUUUUAUUAUGAAGUCUCCACUUUUCACUUUGAUAUUGUCGGCCAAGAAAGAAACCCAUCAUUAUGUUUUUUCAAUAUCAUUAUCUAUCUAAAUAUUUUAUUAUUAUUAUUUUAUGAUAUUUGUUAACGUGUGUCCUAGAGUAUUGUGACUACCAUUAAACUAUGUCACUUAUACAACAUGUGAUUUACCACACGAUUGAAUAAAUUAUUUAUUUAUAGAAGGCACAUAGUACAAUAUUUUGUCUUGACAAACUUUGUCAAUUUGAUUUAUUCAUUAUACGGUUGUACUUAUACUAUCAUUUAUAGGAAUUAUUGAGCAACUAGAUCCACUGAUCAACAUUGUUGCUGAUUAAAGAAGUCUACCAAUUUAUAGACUGAUGAGCCACAUGCUCAUGGUGACAAAGAUUCAGUCCGGACGGUGAUCUCUUGUUUGACCGGACACCCACUUGCUCGGACAUUCGCUUAUUGGGACACCUAUGUGCCUGGACCCAACUCGAUGACCCUACAGAUAGCCCCAACUCGAUGACCCUACGUAUGGCCUCGACUCAAAGACCCGACUUGCGUACCCGAUCCGCGGAUCCGACGCAUAGACCCAAUAUGCGAACCCAACAAGCGGACCCGAAUCAUGUAGAAUCAACUCAUACUGAGUGCAUGUCGACAUAAAGUAGAUACUUGCAAUGAGGAAUACCACAAGCCGAGCCGUCUCGUAGUGAGCAUAGCCUUUAGCCAAGCCGCCUCGCAACGAGCAUCGCCUCCAGCCGAGCAAACGCCUCGCCGCGAGCAUAGCUUCUAGCCGAGCAGCCUCGCAACGAGCAUCACCUCCAGCCGAGCAAACGCCUCGCCGCGAGCAUAGCUUCUAGCCGAGCAGCCUCGCAACGAGCAUCGCCUCCAGCCGAGCAGUCUCAUAACGUGUGAUACCUCUAGCCGAGUAUUGCUUUAUGUUGAGCAUUGCCUUGGGUUGAGUACUGGUUCAAGACAUCUAGCCACUUUGGCCCUUACAUGGAUUGGAUUUCAUGUCUCCAGCCAAAAGACUCUUUUGAUUGAAGACUUGGGAGACUGCUGUUGGUACCACACAUAUUGGGCCUCAGACUUUGACACAUUGGGCCUCAACAUUUGGACCUCAUUACCCAGACCAUAAUUAUGUAAAAGGAAGAGCCCCUUAUUCUAUAAAAGGGGACUCCUCCCCCCUCACAAAUUAGACUCUGGGAUACCCCCAAAACAUACAAGUCUCAAACAACUCAGAGACAACACUCUCUUCCUCAGGGGGACUCCCCUUGAGCUUGUAAUCCAUACAUACAGUUACAGAGAAAUACAAUCAACAUCAGUGUGGACGUAGCCCAAACAUUGGGGUGAACCACGAUACAUCUUUGUGUUCUUGGGCGUUUGCAUGAUUCACGGUCAAGUUUACGUUGUUCCAAGACCUUCCGGUUUUAUGCAUCAACAAAUUCCACAGAUCGUGAUCCACCAUAAUCAAAUUUAAUCAAACAUUAUGCUAAAUAUAUUAUACACCAAUAAAAACGAAUUCUACUUCAGAUGAGGACCAAGAAUUUCUCCAAUGGCUAAAAUGAAUUUAAUUUAGAAGUAAAAGAUGCAAUUUAAAGGAACAUACACUUAUUUUUCUUUAUGAGAGCUCUUAGGAUUUUAGUGAGGAUGAAUGUGAGAUAAAGAUUGGUGAUGGUAGGAUUUGAUUAUUGGAUAUGUGUUUAUUAAUAAAUUUUCAUUUUUUUUUGUUAAUUUCAUCAUGUACUUGAUGAUAAUUAUGCAAUAGGGUAAAAAAUGCAAUUCACAUUUAAAAUUUAAGUUGAGUGUAGAAAGAAGUUAAAAUGGGUUCAACUAAAAUUUUCCUUUAUUUUAUAUAUGUUUCAUUUGUUAUUUGUUAUAGAUAAGACUCAAGUAUGAUUCUAACUUUUUUACAAUUAUAUCUCCCUUAAAUAUAUUACAUACAAAAGAGAGAACUAAAGAUAUAUAUAUUAUGUUUGGACACAACCCACAACAAAAGUUGGCUUUCCAAAAGAUAUGUUUGAAAGUUACUUCCUCAAAGAAAGAAAUAUACGAGGCCGAAUAUUUUUGAGAAAAGCAAUGAGUUCAUGGUUGUUGAAUCUACGGUCAAGUGACUCUUACAAUAGUGCUAUUACUUGUAAUAAAAGAAGGAAUGCUACAAUAUAUAUAUAUAUUAUAUACUUUGAUCUAAUGAAAAUAUAAAAUAGUCCAUAAUGAUUUUUUUUUGUUGGUUAAAAUCAUAUAUGUUGUUAAUCACCAAAUCAAUUGAUCUCCCAAGACCAUCUCCAAUGGUAAGCUAAAACCUGAAAUUUCUUCCCCCCCCCCCCCCCCCCAACAAAAAAAAAGCCACUUCAACCCAUGACCUAAAAUUAACCUAAAACCUAAAACCCAAAUGGAGGGCAAAUACCGGCCCAAUUAUUGGCCACAAAGCAAAAUGGACCCCACCAAUUGAGACUGAAACCGGGGCUGUGAAGUCCACUGCCCACUCCCUACUCGCCUACGCGUUGUACGCGCUAGGCUUUCUCAAAAUUUUGUACCAACCCACGUGGGGUUGUUCCCCAUUGUCACACCACCAACACUACCACCGCAUUCUCUCUCCAUCACCCACACCACCAUGACCACCAUCACCGUCAAUCCUUCACCAUCGUCACCACCAAUGCCACCACCUCCCACCACCAUUAUCGCCACAACCACAUCCUCCACUACCAUCACAGUUGGGACCAAGGCCACCACCACCUCCAC